rnacentral:lncRNA from 1 species
CCUUACAAAAUGUUCAUGUGUGCGACAUUCAUUCUUCCAAUGGCCUUUCAUGCCACAACGACAACAAUUACUUUUUGAGGGGUUAUUUUGAGAAAUCAUGUUGUUCUCCCUUUUAUUAUGACCACCACCUUGAUGAUUAGUGUAUCGUCUUUUAUCUUUGCCACGUCCCUGUGCAUUAUUAUAUCAAACGAUGAUCAUUUCUUUUUACUUCAGAUUGAUCACGUGCUUCCACCACAUUUGCCUCUGGUAAUGGAGCAGCUCCAGUGGGACGAGCUUCAUGAUUUUUCAUUAAAAGAGCAUUAUGUUGCUCAGCCACCAAAAGACAUGAGAUUAGUUCAACAUAUUUCUGAAAACCCUUUUCACGAUAUUGCUGCUGCAAUAUCACAUUCGAGGCAUGAAAAGUAGUAAGUGUCUUUUCCAACAUGUCCUCAUCUUUUAUAGUCUCCCCACAUAAUUUCAACUGGGAGGUUAUCCUGAAUACAACAGAGUUGUAUUCAAUUACGGUCUUAAAAUCUUGAAACCGUAAAUGCAUCCACUCAUAACGAGCUCUUGGCAACACUGUUGCCUUUAGGUGGUCAUAUCUCCCCUUUAAAUCAGUCCACAAUUCAAGUGGAUCUUUCACCGUCAGAUAUUCAAUAUUCAGGCCCUCAUCGAGAUGAUAACGAAGGAAAAUCAUAGCCUUCGCCUUAUCUUGACUCGAUGCUUCAUUUCCCUGAGUAAUAGUGGCAUCAAGACCUUUAGCAGCCAAGUGAAUCUCAGCAUCGAGUACCCAUGAAAGAUAAUUCUUUCCAGAAAUAUCUAAUGCCACAAACUCAUGUUUGGAUAAAUUCGACAUAAUGAAAAUUAUGAGAGAAUAUGUGAAUUAAAUAAAAAUAUUUAUAUAUUACCUUUGCAAGUAGCAAUUUCGUGCUGAUAACGUGUUGUAAAGAAAGCUCAGAAUAUAAGAUGAAAAAGACACGAAGUAUAAGAUAGAGGAGAUAAUUUUCUUAUUCAAGUAUGUCAUACAAUGGUGAAUUACAUCUCUAUUUAUAGUGUUGAGAUAUCAUAGUCAAAGGUCACCUUGAAAUUUUAUAUAGUUAUCAUCAAGUUUCAUAUCACCUUGAUAUCUUAUCACAUUGGAAACACUAAUACAUGAAUCCAAUUAAUUGUUAGAUAGCUCUAAUGGAUUAUCCACAUAUACAAUUGAUUUACAACAAAAUGGUCAUUUUUCAUUCACUAAAUUAACAUUGUUCUUCUAAUAACUUAUGCUUAGAAACUAAAUUAUUACGCAAUGUUUAGUGUUUCAAUCUAAAAAAACAUUAACAUAUCUUUUUAAAGAACUUGAAAGGAUAUUUCAAAAUUUAUAAGCAAUUUAAUAUGGUUCAUGUAUUAGCAAAAAGUCAUGUAAUUACUGGAUGAAUACCCAUCCUAUCUCUUUAGGAUGAGUAUGAACAUGUUGAUCACCAUAUUGAAUUUGAGUUAUUGCUUGAGUAAUCUUCUUUUGCUUGAUCAGAAAAAAACCUUCCGAAGCUAACUGUACUAACAGAAUUCUCAUUUGAACAUGUUUCCCAAAUAUAUUUAUCUGAAGUUAUAUUUUGGCUAAAAACAUAAGAGUUAGAACGCCUAACGACACAAAGGUAAACAAAAUCUUCAAAACCCAAACAAACCAUCCUAUCCAAUGAAAAAUGAUCUUCAGAGCUAACCGCGUUGACAGAAUUCUAAUAUGAGCGCAUUUACCAAAAUAUUGAAAAAACUCACAUUUUGGCCAAGCCUGAAAAGUUACUAACUGCACAAACUGAAAGACAAAAGCCUCAAAACUCGCACCAGCCAUCCUAAGCCAAACUUCAGAAGGGAAAACGAUUUUCACCCAUUUUUUCUUUCAAAAACAAUUAAGAAAAAAUCAUAUGGUAAAAUUUGGAUCGAGACACUAGGUAAUAUUAUUAGCAGUGGCGUACGGAGUAUUUUUCAUAAUUAGUGUCGAUAUUUUACAAAUAUAUUAAUAAAAAUGAUUGAUAAAAACAUUAAGUUAAUAAAAAUUAUUUAAAAUGUACUACUAAAACAUAAAUCAAGUAACCUAUAAAAAAAUAAAAAUAAAAAUAAUGUAAACUACUAUAACUCUCCUCGGCGAGUUUUCAUAUUAUUGUAUCCAAUUCUUAUUUGAUUAACUAAUAAAAUUUCUAUAGAAGGUUUUAAGUUGUAUUCUAGUUCAACUAAUUUGUUUCAACCUAAUUUAACUAGGAAUAAGGAUGUUAGAAGGUUCAAAUCUUUCUUACAAACUUUUCUCUGAAACCGCUUCAAAAAUAAAAGCAAAACACGCUUCUCGUGGGAUUCGACCCCAGGUACUUGUGAGGAAUAACCCUUCAUUCUUGGCGCUGACCAACAAUCCAAAACGCUCCGUUAUAUAAGGAAUGUCAUUAAUAUUGUGUGUGUGUGUGUGUGUGUGUGUGUAUAUAUAUAUAUAUAUAUAUAUAUAUAUAUAUAUAUAUAUAUACUAAAAAAUUUCAACGAAGUAGUGUCAGCUGGCCCCCCUUAAUAUGAGGUUGGGCCGCCCCUGAUUAUUAGUAAAUGUAACAUUAUAGAAGUAAAAAUAAAUUUAUUAUUAAAUGCUAGAUUUUUUACCAAAAAAAUAACUGAUAUCUAUCAUUAAAUAUAUCACUAAAGCUUAAAAUCGGGGAAAAAUAUUGAUUCAGUGUUAUAUCAUUAGAUUUACUUAUUAUUUCAAUACUAGAUGCUGAUUAUCAAAAAAUUUAACUUCAACUGGUAAAUUUACCAACUAUUCAAACAUAAGUUAGUAAUUAAUAAUUUACAAAUAAAUUUUAUCACAGUUGAUAAUAAUUACUAUCUAACUCAACAUUCAUCUUUAAUUUUACCAACUAAUAAUUAAUAUGUUGGUAAAUUUUAUCACUGGAUUAAUGAUCGGUUGAUAUAUUACCAACUAUUUUAAUGAUGUGAGUAAUUUACUAACUACAAUGUUUAUUCGUUGGUAAAUUUUCCAACUGAUUGAAUAUUGGUUGACAAGUUUACCAACAAAUUACAUUUCGUUACUAACUUACACCCACAUUUAUAUUUGGUUGAUAAAUUUAGCAACACAAUCUUGCCAUUGGUAAAUGUUUGGUAAGUAAUUCAUCAAUAAUAUAUUAAUAAAUUAAAUAAACAAAAUUUUUGUCAUCUUUACCAAUCAAUAUAUAUACUUCGUUUGUAAUAUUACCUACAAAAAGUGUGUGUUUGUAAUAUUUAGUUGGUAAUCCAUUAAUAGAAAGUUGCUAAAUUUGGUGCCAUUUUUUUCCCGCCGUAUUUACCAAUUAAAAUACGUAGUUAGUAAUAUUUUGGUUUGUAAUAUGUUAGAAUUUCGUUGUUAAGUUUUAAAUUAUAAUUAAGUUUGAAAUAUAUUGGUAAUUUUUUGGAAGACUACUAACAAAUUUAAGUUGUUAGUAAAUCUGUUGGCAAUUUGGGUUUUUUUUUGUAGUGGUUUAUGCAUAGGAACCAUACUUAGUAGAUGUGUUUUGUACUAACCCAUAUUUCUUCCCCUUUUUUUCAAAUAUUGUAGGUUCCGGCCAUUGAAGACCUUCUAGGCUACUUUGCAAGAAGACUUGGACUUUUUCUUCAAGUUGUUGGUGUGUCUUCCCAUUCGAGGAUGAUGCCAUUUACUCUACCUUAGUAAUGUUGCUAUUGUCUAAAGACAUACAUUUCCCCCCUAUUCUUGAAGACAUUUGUUGUAAGUUCUAUGUGGAAAAUAUGAAUUUGUAUAAGGGCUAUGCCCAAAUAUUGUACUUCGUUUUAGAUAGUUUAUGUGAGGCAAUGGAUUAGACUAAUUCGUAUGUGUUGAAUAAACGAGAAGCGUAUGUAAGAUUCAUAUCAGUGGAGUCUAAGUAAACUCCCUAUAUGAUAUGUGAGAGGUCUACGUAAACCUCAAUAAUGUAAAAGUUUUAAAAAAAUUUCACAUUUUUUACCUAUGAUAUGUUAUGACUAAUGCUAAGGGCUUGUCCAUAAUUAUGAAGUGUGUCACACUUAUUAAUGAGAGGCUAUAUGAUGCUUAGGAAAGUAUAUUUUUGUUGGUAUUCUUGAAGCUAGCCUCUAGAGUCUUAACUCUACAUAUCCUUAUCUUCUAAUCUCUUUCUUGUGCUUAUAGACAAUGAAUAAUAGAAGGAACAAUGCUCUAAGGGUCGAAGAGAAGAAUGUGAAUGAGGUGGUUCCCCCUCCGGCUCCUCAAAACCCUCAAGUUCCUAUUGAAGAAGGGGUCAUAUGUAAUGUUGAGAUAAGGGCGGUCAUUCAUAACUUGACUCAAGUGUUGGCUACUCCAGUUAAUAGGGAUGCUAAGGUCCAAGUGAACCUCAAUACUAGCAGUACCACAUCAAGAAUAAGGGAUUUCACAAGGAUGAAUCCCCUUACUUUCUUUAGCUCCAAUGUAAAUGAGGACCCGCAAGGGUUCAUUGAUGAAAUGUUCAAAGUACUAGAUGUUAUGGGGGCGUCUUCUCAAGAAAAGGCAGAACUAGCCACCUACCAACUCAAAGAUAUGUCUCAAUUUUGGUAUGAGCAAUGGAAGGAUGAUGGGCGGUUAGAGAAGGCCGGAUUACGUAGGGAGCUUUCAAGACGGACUUCAUUGAUAGGUUUUUCCCCUUGAAACUAAGGGAAAGUAAAAUGCAAGAAUUCAUCAACCUACACCAAGGGGAUAUGAGUGUGAAGGAGUAUAGGCCCAAGUUCACCUAACUAUCCAAGUAUGCUCCUACUAUUAUGGCAGAUGAUAGGGCCAAGAUGAACUAAUUUGUUAUGGGGAUAUCCUAUCUUGUAGUGAAUGCAUGUAGGUCGGCUAUGUUGAUUCCUUGCAUGGACAUCACUCGUCUCAUGGUUCAUUCCGAACAAAUUGAGGAGCAAUAUCUUAAACAAGUUGGUAUAGAAUUGAGGACGACAAGGGCUGAAGAUGGAAAUUUUUCAAAGACUAGAUUUGAGGUACAAGAUAAGUCAUGAUUCUAGAAGAGGUUCUUUAAUCAAAGACCUUCUACCAUUCAAAGAAUCAACAAAGGUAAAGGGUUUACACGUUAUCCUAAAGAUGAAAAAAAGUAGUGGUCCUUAUGUUGAGAAGUCUACUUGUGCUAAACGUAGUAGAAAACAUGAAGGCAAAUGUCCAAUUGAUAUGGGAAAUUGUUAUGGUUGUGGCAAGAGUGGUCACAUGAAGAGAGAUUUUCCUAUAAUGAAGGAUCAAGGGAGAGAAAUUUAUCACGCACAAGCAAGAGAUCCAAAUCCCGAUGCUCCUAAGAAGAAUCACUUUUAUGCUCUCUUCUCUAGGAGUGAUCAAGAAGAGUGUCCCGAUGUUGUCACCGGUAUGUUACAAGCGUUCUCUAUUAAUGUCUAUGUUUUACUAGAUCCGGUGCUACCUUAUCAUUUGUAACCCCUCUAGUAUCUAGAAAGUUAAAAGUAUUACCCAAUGUUUUAAUGGAACCUUUUUUGGUUACAACCCCGGUGGGUCACUGUGUGUUGGCUAGAAGAGUCUUUAAUAGUUGUCCAAUAUCAUUGACCAAUAGAAUUACUUUGGUUGAAUUGAUUGGACUUGAUAUGGUUAACUUUGUUGUCAUAUUGGGGAUGGAUUGGUUGCAUGUUUGUUUUGCUUCUAUAGAUAGUAGAACAAUGCUAGUCAAGUUCCAAUUCCUAAAUGAACCCGUCUUAGAAUGGAAGGGGGGUAACUCAAUCCCUAGAGUUGAAUUAUUUCAUGUUUAAAAACUUAUAAAAUAAUCUCUAAAGGGUGUAUCUACCAUGUUGUGAGGGUUAAGGACCUUGAAUCGGAAGUUCCUCCCUUAGAGUCGGUACCCAUAGUGAGGGAUUUUCCAAAAGUCUUUCCUAAUGAUUUGCCUGGUGUUCCUCCCGAAUGGGAAAUAGACUUCGGCAUUGACUUGCUUCCGGGUAUGAAACCUAUUUUAGUCCCUCCUUCGUGUAUGGCUCUUGCCGAGUUGCAAUAAAUUAUUCUUCAACGCAAGGUUUUACUUGACAAGGGUAUCAUAAGACCUAGUAUUUCUUCUUGGCGUGCGUAGGUGUUGUUUCUAAAUAAGAAGGAUGGGUCCCUUAGGAUGUGCAUGGACUACCGUCAACUAAAUAAGCUGACCAUGAAGAACAAGUAUCCUCUCCUUUGGAUUAACAAUUUGUUUGAUCAAUUACAAAGGGAAUGCUACUUUUCCAACAUGGACAUGAGAUGGGGUUACCAACUUAGUGUGAGAGGAAAGGACAUACCUAAAAUGGCUUGGCGAACUAGGUAUGGUCAUUAUGAGUUCCUAGUUAUGUCUUUUGGUCUUAACCAAUGCUCCGACAAAUUUCAUGGACCUAAUAAAUAGGUUAUUCCGAGAUUACCUUGACUCAUUUGUGAUUAUCUUUAUUGAUGAUAUUUUGGUGUACUCCAAGAGUGAAGAUGAACAUAUGAAUCAUUUAGGGGUAGUAUUGCAAGUCCUAAGGAGCACCAACUAUUUUCCAAGUAUAGUAAAGGUGAGUUUUUGUUAAGAUCGGUUGCGUUCCUUGGUCAUAUUAUCUCAAGUGAAGGUAUAGAGGUUGAUCCAAGAAAGACGGAGGUGGUUAAGAAUUGGCCUAGACCUUUGGCUCCAACUAACAUUAGAUGUUUCUUGGGUUAGCCAGGUAUUAUAGGAGGUUUGUGGAUGGAUUUACUUCUAUUGCUUCUCCUUUGACUACCUUGACCCAAAAGAGUGUUAAAUUUGAGUGGUCGGAGGCAUGUUAAAAAAGCUUCCAACUAUUAAUAGAUAGGCUUACUUUCGCUCCAGUUUUGACUUUACCGGAGGGUACCAAGGUUUUUGUGGUAUAUUAUGAUGCUUCCCGAGUGGGUUUGGGCUGUUUCAUUAUGCAACAUGGGAAAGUAGUAGCCUAUGACUCUAGACAACUCAAGGUGCAUGAGAAGAGUUAUCCAACUCAUUAUCUUGAAUUAGCGGUCGUAGUGUUUGCUUUGAAAAUAUGGAGGCAUUACAUGUAUGAUGUUCAUGUGGAUGUAUUAACCGACUACAAAAAUCUUCAAUACGUGUUCACUCAAAGGGAGUUGAAUCUCUGAUAAAGAAGAUGGUUGGAAUUGUUGAAGGAUUAUGACAUGAGUAUUCUCUACCACCCUGACAAGGCCAAUGUGGUUGCGGAUGAUCUAAUACGUAUGACCAUGGGUAGUGUGUCUCAUUUAGAAGAAGGUAAGAAAGACAUAGUGAAAGAUGAUCAUAGGUUGAUCGGUUGGGUGUUCGGUUGGAAGAUUCUCCAAAUGGUGGGUUUAUGAUACACCAUAACUCCGAAUCGUCCUUAGUAGUUGAGGUGAAUUAUAAAAAACACCUUGACCCUCUAUUGAUGGAGUUGAAUGAGUUGUUCCUUGGAAAGUUUAAUGAGUCCUUCUUCCACGGGGGGAAUGGUUUUAGGUACCAAGGUAGAUUGUGUGUAUCGGAUGUUGAUAACUUGAGGGGCAACAUUUUAGAAGAAGCUCACGGGUCUUGAUAUUCUAUUCAUCCGAGUGCCACAAAUAUGUACCGUGAUCUUCAAGAAGUCUAUUGGUGGGAAGGUUUGAAGAGGGACAUAGCGGAAUUUGUGGCUAGGUUCCCAAACUAUCAACAAGUAAAGGCAGAGAACCAAAAGUCGAGUGGUUUGACUUAAAUAAUGAAUGUUCCUACUUAAAAGUGGGAAGACAUUCAUAUGGAAUUCGUAAUGGGUUCGCCUGUGACACGUAGCCAAAAUGACUCAAUAUGGGUUAUUGUGGAUAUGUUGAUGAAAUUUGCUCACUUUAUUCCUAUUAACUCUACUUAUUCGGCGGAAGAGUAUGCAAGGAUGUACCUUGAUGAUAUUGUGAGUUUGCAUGGUAUCCCUUUUCCAUCAUUUCGAAUAGAGGUUCCCAAUUCACAUCUCAUUUUUGGACGUCUUUUUAAAAGGGGUUAGGUACUCAAGUGAAGCUUAGCACCGCUUUUUAUCCUCAAAUGGAUGGUCAAUCGGAGCGUACCAUUCAAACCUUAGAAGAUAUGGUAAGAUUUUGUGUUAUUGAUUUCAAAGGAAGUUGAGACGAUCACCAACAAUUGAUUGAGUUAUCCUAUAAUAAUAGCAACCACUCGAGUAUUUCUAUGGCCCUUUUUGAAGGACUUUAUAGGAGGAGGUGUCAGUCUCCUAUUGGGUUGUUUGAGGUAGAUAAUCUUCACUCAUUGGUCCUGAUAUGAUCUAUGAUGCUUUAGAGAAGAUUCAGGUGAUAAGAGAUAAGCUGAAAACAUCCUAUAGUCGGUAAAAGUCCUAUGCCGACAAUAGAAGAAGAGACUUAGAAUUUGAAGAAGGGGAUAAGGUGUACUUAAAAAUUUCACCCCCAUGAAAGGGGUGAUGGUAUUUGGAAAGAAGGGGAAGUUAAGUCCCCGGAAUGUGGGUCCCUAAGAAAUAUUGCAAUGGGUCAGAAAGAUUGCAUAUGAGUUGAGACUACCUAGUGAACUAGCUUCAGUUCAUACUUUCAUGUCUCCAUGCUAAAGAAGUGUAUUAGUGACCCCGUAUUUAUUCUCCCUAUUGAAGGUCUAGGUGUUGAUGAGAACCUUUCCUAUGAAGAGGUUCCGGUGGAAAUUCUAGAUCGCCAAGUCAAGAAGUUGAGGAACAAUGAGGUGAUCUCCAUAAAAGUCCAAUAAAGGAAUCACCUAGUUUAGGGAGAAACAUGGGAGGCUGAGGCCGACAUGAAGUCCCGUUAUCCUCGUCUCUUUUCCCAAAAUUCUAUCCAAAGUUGGGGUUAGUAAUCCUCUUAAAAUGAACUAAUUAAUAAUGUUAAUUUUGGCUUGAUUUACUAAAAUGUGCAUAGUUAUGAUAAAGGUUCAUGCUCUAAUGGGUUUUCAUGUAAAUAUGCUCUUUUGCUUGACUUGCACUUAUUUAUGACCUUGUGAAUAGUUGUUUUCAUGAAAUGGUAUUGACCAUGUUUAAUGUUCCUUAAAAGGAAGUUUUAUAUAGGUGAUUCUUGAUGUUAUAUUGAGUUUAUGUUGAUAGUGAGAAGAUAGUUCCUCAUGUUGUGAAGUUGAGCUCUUACAUGUUGUAAAUUGAGCUUUGAGUUUUUAUGUGUAAUGACAUGGCUAUGUGUUUAUUUGAGUUGUGAAUUACUCAUAUGGGGUGUAACUCAUAAUGGUUUUAUCUUGUUUAUUUUUUUGUUGGUUGGGCUGCUAGUCUUGAGUCAUCGUCUUCCUACAAAAAUUUUUCUAGCGUUAUUCGGGGACGAAUGUUCCCAAUGAGGGGAUAACGUAACACUCUGAUAGUCCAUUACCUAAUAUAGAUCCUCACAUGAUGAACAAAGACUUGAAACGUUGUUCUAAGCCUAAACUAAUGUAUUGAAACUAGGUAGGAAGUGUUAGAGUCAAAACGUUAAGAAACGACCAUGACGUCCGGAGAAUUGUCAAGUAUGUGUUAGUGUGCCUUGGAAUGUUUCAAUGGGUUUAAGAGUAAGAAUUUAGUGAAAUUUGGUAAAAAUGUACUAAAUAUGUAUUAAAUCAUGUUUAGGGUCAAACGUUCGGGUACGACUCCCCACGGAGCACCCUAAGGGUCCUUGGAGAGGACUCUUCCAUUUGAUCCAAAGACAUCAAAUUGGAUAAUGUGCAUCCACGAGCCAAACAAUGAGUCGUCGAUGGCUUCGUUGGUUGAAACUUAGCUAUUUUUCCAAAAUUUCCAAAAAACAUAGUCUCUGAAUCAAAUGACGGCGUGUCAGUACGGCACCGCCGUUUAAUCGAUUCCCCGUCAACGGACAACCGUCGUUUGAAGGUCUAAUGUCGACUGCGAAGUGUUAACCUUAGAGAGUUACUUAGUUAAUUAGUUAUUUGAUAAAUUAGGAGAUUAGGGGUGAUUAAUUAAGUUAGUUAAGGACAAUAUAAAGGGUUCCAACUCAUAACUAACAUAACACCCCAUUAUUUUCCCAAACCCAUAUCUAUCUAACUUCUCUCUAGCUUCUCUCUUCCCAAACUCAAACUCAUUGAACAAACACCAGAGCUCUAAGUCAAGGAACAAUUCACCAAGAUUUUCAUCUCAAGUUCGUGGCAAGAUCAUCACUAAGGUAUGCCUUAUUUAACUCUUGGGAUUCCUUUCCCCAAGAGGCCCUUUCAAAAAGAUGAUUUUCAACCUCCCCAAAACUAGGGUUUCAAUCUAGGUAGGGUUCUCUUUUCAAAAUGAAGUUGUUAUUCAAUUGUGAUGAAUUAUGGUCUACUAUCAUUGUAUAACUACGAAAUUAUGAUUAAUUAUUGAUAAUCACUCAAGAUUUCCCCUUGAACCCUUGUCCUUCCCUCAACUCACUUUUCUUGGAAUUAUUUAGUAAUUGUGGAAGAUGAUGAUUAUAUAACAAUGAAAAACGAUAAUUGCGAUGAAUUACUUUUUGAAGUUACCUUGUUUGUGCAUUGUUUAUGUAUUCUUUUGUAAUUAAAGUAUGAAGGCAAUGAAAGAGCAAUAAGGUGUGAAGAUUGAUUCUUCUUGAAUUCAAUUAUGAAGUAUGAUUUACUUAGAUAUUAAUGCUUCUAUGUCUAAUUUGUGGUUGGGAUGUUGAUAACAAGUAUUUUUCAUCCUUAACCCUAGACUAUGGGAUUGGCUAUGAAGUGUGAAAGCAUUUUAAGAUGUGAUGAUUAUAUAAUUGAAAGUAACUUCUUAUGAUUAUGGUAAAGUGUUGAGUGAAAGGUUUACUCACCUGUAUGUGAUUUUCUAAAGUGAAAGGGUAGUCUCGCUUAAGAGUACCUAUGAGUUAUUAUGAUGAAAUGUUCACAUAGGGGUCCAGAAGAUACUAACGUAAUCUUAUGUGAAGAGUGUGAUGAGUACUAGCACCGAAAGGACAUGUAAAUGAGAUGGAAUGUCUCGCGUUUAUCAUGUCUGGCCUCCCAUGGGUUUCUUCAUAUUUAGUAAGUCCGGAUUCCCAAGAUAUAUGUUGUCUCAUUAGAUGGAAACCUCCACGUCUAGAAAGCCAAGGUUCUAGUAGCAAUCUUCUUGACCCUUAACUAUGUGCCCACAUAGGAUUACAGAUUAAUGGAUCCACCUAAAUAGCUAUGUACAAAUGGUUACACCUUAGGCAAGUGUUAACCCUCUCUUUUCGGUGUGGGAUGAGAAUACCGGAUUCAAUGUAGCUCACAUGGUCUCAUGUCGGUUAUUUCACUUCUUUCCCUAAUGUAAUAUGGUAAGUGAACAAGUAAAGUAUAUGAAUUAUUAUUAGGGCUUGACUUAAAUAUUACUACAUAGAGUGAGGAAGGGUAUAUACUUCUCUUACUCAUUGCACAUGCGGGAUUCUAAAAGAUUGUUCUAGUAGGGUGCUUGUAUGAUUAAAUUGGCCACAUGUUCUUUAUGUAAAGUUUAAUAUGACUUAUGAAUAAAGGCUUGUUAUGGUAAAGUAUGAGAUUGUGUUUUAUGCAUGUAGUAAGUGACAUAAUGUGAUGCUUAGCGUUGGAUAGGUUUAUGGAGUUCUAUUAUUGGCAUUGCACAAGUAUUAUUUUAGGUUGAUUCUGUGUUGGGUUGACUUAUAAUGUUCGAUAUAUGUGCAUGCUGAGCUAUUGAAUAUAAUGCAUGGUUUUGACUCAAUUGUGUUUUUUCUCCUGCAUUGGUGAUUUCAUACAUAGGAACCAUACUUAGUACAUAUUUUUGUACUAACCAUAUUUCUUCCCUUUUUGUAGGUUCCGACCUUUGAAGAGCUUCUAGGCCACUUUGCAAGAAGACCUUGACUUUUCCUGUAAGUUGUUGGAGAGUCCUCUUGUUCGAGGAUGAUGGAAUUUACUCUAUUUUAGUAGUGUCACUAUUGUCUAAAUGCAUUCAUUUCCUCCAUAUUCUUGAAGACAUUUGUUGUAAGCCCUAUGUGGAAAAUGUGAAUUUGUAUAAUAUAUAUGUCCGAAUAUUGUACUUCGUUAUGGUUUAAUGUAAGGCAAAAAAUUAGACUAAUCCGUUUGUGUUGAAUAAACAAGAAGCCGAUGUGAGAUUCAUAUGCGAGGAACCUAAGUAAACUCCUUAUAUGGUAUGUGUGAGGUCAAUGCAUACCUUAAUAAUAUAAACAUUUUAAAUUUUUUCGCAUUUUUGACUAUGAUAUGUUAUGUCAAAUUAUAAGGGCUUGUCUAAGUCCUCUCUAAGGACAAAAACUCCAGUUAUGUCUAGGGGGUGCUUCGCGGUCGUGACAAGUAGUCUUACCAUAAGUUGUGUUUUAUAACAUUCAUUAUUUAUACAUGGUUUAUAAAGUGAACGAUUUAAUGAAAUACUUUGAGCUUGCAUAUGGGACAAGUCAUUUACUUGAUAUGACACUAAAAGAUUAUUUGAGAUUAUAUCAUUCUUACAAGAUAUGAAUACUAUUAUUUAAAAGGUCUCAAACUUAUUUAAGAAAUAGUAUUUUGACAAGUGAUUGUUAAACUUUGAAAUAAUAUGAUUUGAUAAGAUUUAAAGGGUCUGUCGGAUGAAAUGUUUCUACCGAUAACAAGAAAAGUAUAAAUGGGAGUAGAACUUGAUAAAUCUAGUAGAUAACGACGAGUUCGUUAGACUUGAUGCACCUUGUAGUUACUGAUUACUUAUAAAUCCCUUACUUGUAGAAAGGUAGAAAUAAUAUACGGUUACUGAUAUCCCUCGAGUAGGAUCUACUGUUAUGAAUAUUUAACUCCUUUAUAAGGAGUUCACUAUUAUUGGUUACUUCUUAAAGAGAAGGCUGCACUAACUACAUGUCCUUGGAAACCUCCCAACUAUAACUAUUUGGUAUAGAAAUGUCUUUCUUAGUUUAUUACUAAGAUUUGAUAUGAAAUUAUUUUUCCAGAGUUUACAACUAAGAUUUGAUAUGAAAGUGUUUUUCCAAAGUUUACAACUAAGAUUUGAUAUGAAAGUGUUUUUCUGAGUUUACUACUAAGUGUUUACUAUUAUUUUGCUUACAUGAGGAAAAUAAUAUUGAAUUUUGUUACCGUUUCUAAAAAAGGCAUUGAUUUAAGAAAUUUGACUAUCAUACUAGCAUGUUUUCUGAUGUGUCCAUCAUUAAAAAAGUUGUAGAUAAAUGUUAUUACUCACUAAGUUACUUCGUCACUCCUUGCUUUAUUUUAUAGAGAAUGCAGGUGACAUGGGUAAUGGUUUCUUUAACUAGAGAUUACGAGUUGAUAAUUCCUUGUUAGACACGUACUUGUUCGUGUAGACAAUAAGCUUAGUAGUUGUUAUAAACAUUUCUUGGAAUUUUUAGAGUCGCUCCAUAGUCAUUCCUUUUAUUAGAAUUUAUGAGUAUUCUUUCGUAUUGUAAACUUGUGUCUAGUACGAGACUUAUGUUUUGGAGUUGGAAUUGGUAUUUUUACUCUUCAAAUGGUCUAUUCAUGAAUGACGUGGAUUAGUGAUGAGAUCAGUUGGCUGCGUUAUUAAUUUCUAAUAUAGAUUUUAGGAUAGGACCAACAACAGAAGAAACUCUUUCCGAUUUUCUGUAGAUUUUUGGUUAAGGCUUCUUUUGGGACUCUUCUCCAUAGUGCCGAUCAUGGUUCUAAAUUUGGUCGUGACACCACACCACAAACAGAUAUUGAAGUAGCAAAAAUGUUGAGGGUCAAAGCUAGAAAUGCAAGUUUGUACUUACUAUAACAAUUGACGAUGAGUUCUUACAACAACUUAAGAAUGACAAGACACCCAAAGAAGCUUGAGACACCUAUGCAAUAAUUCUUACAAAUAAGAGUAAUGAGGCCUGAAAAUUAGCUCUAUCGAUCUCUCAACAGAAUAUGUGAAUCAGCCAAUACCUCUCAAAGUUAAAAUCUUUAUAUGAUGAAAUAUACAAAUUAGAGCAUGAGAAUUCUACCACGGAGUAAAGAAUGCGAAAAAUCAGUGUUCAUGGUCUAACGCUGGAGUACAAAGGCAUAAUUACAGCCACACGGGAGUGGGCCGCAUAACCAAUUUAUCUGAUUUGGAAAAUCUAUUAGCAUAUGAAGAAGAUUUGGAGAAUGCAUUAUCAAGUCUGACUAUAAAAGACGAAUAUAAGGUAAUUUUCACCAAAAGAAAAUCCUAUAAAAAAAAUAGAACCACAGAAAAGCUCACGGACAAGGGGAUACCAAAAGAAUCAACAUCAAAGAAGUCAACAACAAAUUUAUAAGGCAAAAGGCUUUAUCAACCAGCAAAUGGAGAAGUGCUACAAUUGUGGAAAGAAAGGACAUUACGCCAGAGACUGCUGUUACAAGAAAGUUGAAGGUAAUGUCGCUACUUCUACUCAAAAUAAUAAAUAUGAAGAAUAAGUUUGGGAUUUCGAGACCUCUUAUGCAGUUGAAGAAACUAGUGAACAAGAGGAGCUUGGCACUGCUCACUCUAACAAAAAAGAGGAUCUUGCACUUACAAUUGUAAGUGAGAAAUUGGUCGAUUAUGAACAUCAUUUGAUCGUUAAUUCAGGAUGUUCCAAUCACAUGACUGGUCAUGAGAAAAAGAUCAUUAACAUUAGUGAACAUAAAGGUGGUCGAGUUCUGGUGACUGCAAAUAAUUAAAAAGUACCAAUCACUCAUAUUGGCAAGACGAUUUUUGUGUCUCCUCACAGCUCAAGGCAAGUGGAACUUCAAAAUGUCUAACAUGUUCCACGUAUGACGAUGAACUUAUUAUAUGUAUCACAACUAAAAAAUUCUGGUAAUUAUAUCUUGUUUGGGGCAAUGAAAGAAAAGUAUAUAGAAACUUAAAAGUUACAAGUACACCAACCAUAGAAAGGAGAAGAUUAAAUCAAUCUACGUCAUGUCAACGAAGACAACUUGUUUUGAGAAAAUGCAAAGUAAUGAAAUUGUUGAUCUCUCGCAUGCACGUUUCGGGCACAUGAGCAACAACAAACUAAAAAUUAUUAUGCAGCAGUCAAAAUUAAAAGGUAUUCCCUAGCUUGAGAUUAGAGGAGACAUUAAUUGUGUUGGGUGUCAAUAUGGGAAAGGACAUCAACCUCCCUAUGAAGAAACAAAGUAUCAAAGGAAGAAGUCAUUAGAACUAGUACACUCACACGAGUUUGGACCAGUGAAGCAGUCCUCCAUCAUUGGUUACUUUACAUGGAACUAUUUAUUAAUGAAUUCUCAUGGUACGUAUGGAUUUACUUCUUAAAAGAGAAAUCUUAAGUAUUUGAGAAGCUUAAAGAGUUCCAAUAUAGUGUGGAGAUUGAUAUUGCAGGAAAAAUCAAUUGUCUACUUACAGAUAAUGGGGGAGAAUACAUGUCACGAGAGUUCAAUGACUAUCUUAAAGAGAAGAUGAUAAGUACACAAUUAACUUUCCCAAAUACGACACAACAAAAUGAAGUGGUUGAAAGAAAAAAUAGGCAUUUUGAAGAGAUAUGCAGAAAUAUGUUGUAUAGCAUGAGCGUGCCAGCAAGGUUUUGGGCAGAAUGCACGAAAAUUGUAGUCCACAUAACCACAACAUAGAGACUCAUCUCACCAUUUGAGAAAAUUAAGAAGAUGAUUCCUACCAUAAGAUACUUUUGAGUUUUUUGUUAUGUGUGCUAUAUGUUCGUGUCUAAUCAUCUCCACAACAAGUUUGAUAAGAAAGUUGUCCGUUGCCUCUCUGUUUGACACGACGAACAAAUAAAAUGAUUUCUUUGUUGCUUAUAGAUUUAUAUGUUUUAUGAAUUUUAUUUAUUGUGUCUCUCAACGGCCAAGAGUUAUUUAAAUUUAUCAGUAACUCAAAUCUGGAAACUUGGUUUGAUGGAAAAAGCAAUUUAGGAAAUAUUUUGAUGCUAUGAUGUAUUGUCAUGAGACUAGUGCAUGUAGGAAAAUCCGUUCUAAGUAUUUUUUUUGGGACACUUGGAAGAUAUUGUGGUACAUUUAAUAUAACUUUGAGUAGGAUCACAAAAUUUACAAAUCUCUUAAUUUUCCUUAAACCAGGCACCUAGUCAAACUAUUAAUUUUUAAUACUUAAUUGUACUAUCAAUUUUACUUCAAAUAUAUUUUAUUGUGCCAGGGCAUUUUCAUUGAUUUUUUUAAUGAAAGGCCAUGAGAAGGAACUUGAAAUGGGAGAGUGAGUACUAAAAAUAGACUUGACCAUAAAAUCCUUCUCCUAUGUGUUUCUUCUUCUUCUUCACCGUCUAGAAGGUUAAUAGAAUAAAGAAAAUAAGUGAUACUAUUGCAACAGAGAUGAGGUAAAUGUGUGCUUUAAUGGAGAAGAUAUUUGGAGAAUUGAAUGUCAGGCAGGAAAAAUUUGAUCAUACAAUUUUAGAGUUGAAAAAAUUCAUUGAAUCUUCUAGCGAUCAAGACAAAGGCAAAAAAAUGAUCGAAGUCGUCAUGAUUCCUUUAUCUGAUGGCCAUGAAAACUCAUCGAUGCUUCAGGCACAAUUUUUUUUACUUCUCUAGAGUAGAUUUACCAAAAUAAAAUUGUUCUGAUGAUUUUAAAUCUUUAUUCUAUUGUUGUUGAUUUAUUUGAGGAGGAGCAUUUGAAACAACACAUGGAACCCAUAACCGCUACUAAUAGUCGCAAACGUAACAAAAAGAACGGUGAUUUUUAUUGAUUGAAGAUGAUGGUUUGAUGUUCCAAUUGUAGAUCCUGUUCCUACAGAGGAAACAAUGAUAGUCAUUAUUGAAGAUGGCGAUUAAAUGUUCCUAUUGUAGAUCUUGUUUCUAUAAAUAGUUUUCUACCCCUUUUUGACCUACGUGACACUAUCUUCUAGGCCGGCUCGUCUUGACAAUUUUUCAAGCUAUCUGAUUGAUAGUGUCACGUAGGACAAAAAAGGGUAGAAAAUUAUUUAUUGGAAGAAGAUCUACAAUUGGAACGUUAACAUCACAAUCUUUGAUCAUGUCUAUCACUGAUUCCUCUGUACGAACAGGAUCUACAAUCAGAACAUCAACACCGUCAUCUUCAAUUAGUGAAACACCACCCUUCUUUUUGUUGUGUUAGCGCUUAUAAGUAACAGUUAUGGGUUCUCUGUGCCUUUUCACUUGCUCCUCCUUAAAUAAAUCAGAAACAAUAGAACAAAGAUUUAAAUCAUCAUAACAAUAUUAUUUUUGGAAAUUAACUCUAGAGAAGUAAAACCAAUUGUAUCUGAAGCAUCGAUGAGUUUUGAUGGUGGUCCGAUGAAAGAAUCAUGCCAACUUUGAUCAUUUUUGUCUUUCUCUUGAUCCCUAGAAAAUUCAAUGCAUUUUUUCCACUCUAAUAUUGUAUUAUCAAAAUUUUCAAUCCUGACAUUCAAUCCUCCAAAUUCUUGUCGAUUAGAGCACACAUUUCCCUCAUCUCUGUUGCAAAAGUAUCAGUGAUUCGCUUGAUUCCAUUAACCAUAUCGACGGCCAAGAACAAGAAGAAACAUAGCAGAGAAGGAUUUUCCGAUCAAGUCUAUUUAUAGUAAUCGCUAUCCCGUCUUAACUGCCUUCUCAUGACUAUUCUUAAAAAAAAUCAAUGAAAAUGCCGCUGCACCAGAAAAUACAAUUUAGUAAAUAAAGAUAAGUACUAUUAAGUAAUAAAAGUUAUAGUUUGACUAGAUUCCUGUUUGAAGGAGAAUUAAAAAAAAUUGUUAUCCUAGUCAAAUUUAUAUGAAAUGUACGAAAGUAUCUUCCAACUGUCCCAAAAAAGGACUUAGAAAGGAUCUUCCUUCAUACAAUAGUCUAAUGACCAUAAUUCAUAGCAUCAAAAUAUUUCCUCAAUUGCUUUUUCCAUUAAACCGGUUGUAGAUUUGAGUUACCCCUACCUUUGUGAAAGUAGAGGUUGUAUAAAAAAGAACCUUAAACAUGCAAUGUAUUUUUCAAUAUUUGACAAUAAAAGAAGAAUUAGAUUGCACCUGCAAGACAUGUAUAAAGUGGGAACUUACAAACCAUUUGUUACACAACUGUAAUUCAUCUGAGCAUCUGCAGCCUUAAUUGUUGCAUAAUUCUUGUUGGUUUUGUGGAAGUGGAUAGAAAGGCUUUCAAUUUAGAUUUUAUUGGAUAAAUGUGUCAAUACUGUUGUUUAGGAUAUGAUGGGAACAAUUGGUUUCUCAGAAUUUAAAUUUUAUUAUAUCAAAGUAAGGACCCACUUCGGUCUUACAAUCUUGAUCACACUUGUCGCUUGCUUCAUCAACACUUUUACUUUAGCACACACUAGUUUGAUCUGUAAGUUUGUUUCUUCCUUCAAUUCUCUUUAACAUCGAAAUAUUCUAGAUUUUUCUUGAUUUACUUAAGAAAUUAAUUAAGGUGGUGAUGAAUCCUUAACAAAAUUAUUGCAUAUCUUUUUGAUAAUAGAUGGUGUAUCCUCCUGAUUCUAUCUCACUCCAAGUGCUCCAUAAAAAAUAAAUGUCUCACCUUUAUUUGAUACUAGUCAUGUACACGUGUGUUGCACGUGAGUCCCAUGAAAAUAUCAUAUGUGGUAGGAGUUAUAUUAAAAUCACAUUAAUCAAAAAAAAAAUUAACAAAAAAUAUUAAAAUCACAUUUUGAAGAAUUUCAAAAAUAAUUUAACGAAAAAUAUAAAUGAAUUAAAUGAACAAUCAACCUAGAUAAAUGACUUCUUUAUUAUAAAAUGUAAAUGUCAAAUAAUUAAUGUGAUCUAUAAUUUACCUUUUUAUGUUAUUUGGUCGAAACCUUGCAAUAUAUUAGUUUGUUACUAUCUAAGAAAGGGAAAAUACACACAUAACACACCUUCUCAAUUAAUACUGAAGUUUGAAUUAUCAUAUGAACUCGUAACAAGUAUAUAUGGUGUCUUCAUAAAACAUUCAAGUGGCAUAAUGUUUUUAUUCUCCUUUGUAGAAUAAACAAAAAAUUCCAAUAGUUUGAUCAUGGUUAUCUUUCAAUUUCUUAUCAUACUUUAAUUUUUUUAGCCUUUUCCCCCUCUUACUUUAUUAUUGUUUUCUCCAGCAUUACUAUUCCAUAUCCUUAGCCUUCAUUCUUGUCUUCCCAUUUCGUUUAUGUUCCCUCCAUUAUAUUUUUAUUGUUUUCUUUCUUACUUACAUAUUUUCAGUCAUAAAAAUAAAAUAAAUAAAAGGAUUAUCUACAAACACAGAAUAUUUAAAAGUGAACUUCCUUUCCCUUUUGAUUGUAAUUUAUAAAUAUGUAAAAUUUAUUUUAAAGAAUUUUAAAAUAUCCUAUUUGAAUUCAUGAAAUGAUAUAAAAUAAUUAGAUAAUUUAACCUUCAUUAUAAGUAAUUUUCUACCCCUUUUUUGCCUACGUGUCACUAGUUUGAAAAAAAAAGUCAACCAUCGUUGGGCCCACAAGAUAGUGCCACGUAGGCCGAAAAGGUGUUAAAAAUUAUUAAUAAAAUAAGUUCAGAGGGGUAAUAGGACCUUAGUAUAGUAUAAGUGUGUCUCUGGGAUUUCGGGCAUAGUUUGAGGGGGUACUUGGGCAUUAUCCCUAUUUUAAAUCAUGAUUCAUAAGAAACAGGCAUACACAUUUCAAGAUGAUGAAUACAUGUGAAAAAUGCUUUCUUGUCAAAAAUUCAAAAAUAUAAAUAUAAAAUACUUAUUUAAGGAAAUAUAAGCAACAUAUUUAUUUUAUUGUUAAACUUACUGAUUGAAGAGAGCAUGGAAAAAUACUUCUUGUGUGGCUUGACUCCCUCUUUGCUUAUCAAAUAAUUAAUGAACUUCUUCAUAUAUCAUUUUUAACAAUUACAUUUGAAAUUGGAAAUAAUAAUGUGAAAUAAGUAUCAAGAUAUCUCUUCAGUUUUGAAAUGCUUGGACUUCCGCUAAAUGACUUUUUAUCUUUCAACAUAUUUAUUACAUAAUAAAUUGCACAUUGAAUACCUUAGAAUUGUUUCCAUUUAUAUCUAGUUUUGUAUUUAGUUAUUAAUUUUUUUAUUAUUACUAUUUUGUAGUAAAAAAAUGAUGUUUAAAUGUAGGAAAAAAAUACUAAUCCAACUUUGAGGUUAAAAGUUUGCCACUUAUACUAAUAUAUGAUGUAAAAUAAUGGGUAAAGAAAACUAUUGUAAAGAACAUUGAGACAGUUGAUGGUAUACAUUUUCGUCCAAGACUCUUUAACCACAUACUCCUCCGUAACCCAUAUAUUUACGCGAGUGAGGAGGAAGUUCAUACUAUGUAUAGUAAGGUUAGUUUCCAACACUGCAAGCUUAAAACCAAAAUCUUAUUUUCCAAAUCAAGGGGGCUCUAUCUUUUCCCAUUUCUCAUCAGCCAUAUCCAUAGUAACGAUGCUCCAGGUCUAUUGACCUCUAUGAUCCCCAAGACCUUAUGUCACGAUCGGGGAGCAACCCCUAGAAGUAACAUGGUUUACUUGACCUCUCAGAGGUCUUUUACAAGCUCAUAGACAUCAUUCAUCGCAUAGACAGAAAGUUAGCGAAUAAUUAAAACUUUUCAUAGCACAUUGAUACGCUCAAACUUACUUCUCAAAUAAUAAGUAAAGCGGUCGUGUCAAGUAAAUAACCCAACUAGUGAGGUUGAGAUCGUUCCCACGAGGAAAAUAGUUUAGACUUAACUUCAAUCUAUUAUUACUAUUUUUCGGUCAAUUACUUCCUUGGAAAGCAAAAACAAUAAGGGGUUUCUAUUUCUAAAUAAAUGAAAAUAACUAGCGAAAUUGAAAGAGACACUUAACAGCUUGGAAUGUUGGAGUUUAAUCAAUUAAUCAAAGUAACUAGGGUUUACGUGUUCCCCACAGGUUCAUAACUUGAUAUUCUAACUAUAACAAUUCUUUCCUAGUAUCUUGCAUGCAAAGUGAUAAGUUAUGUAUUUCUAAAUCCUUGGUCCGGCAUCUAGAAAAUUUCACUCCGCACCUUGGUCCGGAUACGUGUGUUGCUAUCCUAACCCUUAUCUUUACCUCAUAUUAAGCAUCGUAUUCGAUAUUUGACUAAGUUAUUACCUCGUACUAAUCAAUACUAGCCAAUUAGAUAUUGUACACUAAAUCUAUGUUGAUAACUAUUUUUCUCUUAUCUACCUCCUUGGUCCGGCAAGUAGCAUUAAGGCGAGUUCUAACGUUGGCCAUCCAUUAAAAAUACUUCUAACCAAAAGAAUUAUUAAUACAUGCAAAACACUAUUUUAGAAUUGUUAUUUUAGUUAGGUUUUACCUCAUUAUUAGCCUAUGGUUUCCACAACCCUAGUUAUGGAGUUUAGUUACCCAUAGUCAUAUUUACAAUAUUCAAAUAUGUGAUAUAAGAAUUCAUGGACUUACUUCAAUGAGAAAGAGUAAAAUCCGAAAGUUCGCUUGAUUAAUCAACAAAAAUCAUCAACUAUCACUUACAAGAAUCUAAAAGUAAUCAAGAAUCUCACAAAAAGUCAAAUGAUAAUUAAAGGCCUAACAAAAUAAUCCAGAGUCUCACCUAAUUAUACAGAGUCUAACCUCAAAAACGAGGUUUUAUUUAAAGAAAAUAAAAACCUAAGUAAACAAGGAUUCUAUUUGCUGGAAAUCUAUAAAAACGCGGCUGGGUUGGCGGACCUCGCGACGGAUCAUCGUGGUCACGACGGACCAUCAUGGACUCCGUCGUCCCAUAUUUGUGCAAUUUCUUCUGCUGCUCUCUUCAUUACCCUCGACGGCAAGUAUGACGGAUCGUCACAGACACGACGGUCCUUCGAGGGUCUUUGUUCCAAAACACUUUAACUCUUGGAAUCUGGGUACUAGGACUACUUCUCUGAACUUCAUGACGAACCUGCAGGACGGACCGUCAUAGACACGACGGACCGUCAUGGACUCCAUAACCCCACACUUGGUCAGAACUCCCCAUCUUCCUUCAGCAGCUGCACUACGCUGCCACCUACGGACCGUCACAAGUAUGACGGACCGUCACAAGCUCCGUUGGUGGUCUCUUCUGCAUUUCUUCGCUCAAAAACCUCCGCAUUCAACUUUGGACAGAUUUCCUGCAAAUAAGGAGAAACUUAUAUAAAAAUUAGCACAAAAAAGCUUUUGUACACACUAAACUUAAGGAAAAAGUAUUAAUAAUACCGUGAAACCACGGUAUAUCAACACCCUCAACUUAAAUUCGUUGUUUGUCCUCAAGCGAUGCACUAUGACUCAAUACAAAAUCUUUGUACAAUAGUAUCCAUGUUUUAUCCUUUGCAAUCAUUUGGCUAUCAAUCCCGAUUAAUCUCAUCAUAUUUAUGCAUGCUAUCACUAUUAGUCUUGAAUUAUGUGGGAUCAGAGCAUGACACAGACUCACCAUGAACUAACACCUAUCCUCUUCAGUAUCUCACUGAGGUGCUAAUGUUUCCGGUAAUGCAACUAGUGUCCUCACUUCAAAAAAAAUUCUCAUUUUUCACACAAUGAUUUCAGUUUGAGUAUAAGGAUUACUUUGCAACACUCACUCUCAGAACAAAUUCACACUUAUUCAUACCUAUUUCCAUAAGCUUGCCCUUAUUUUCACUGCUUUAAGUUCGCUAUACAACCCUUAGGAUCACGAUAGGACUUUCUUAGCUUGUAACAUAGGCUCAGGGUCAUGUAGGGUAUAUUUAGGUAUACUUUAGUGACUUUUUUCCCAUUUUCUAUCAUUUUAUCUCGCCCAGUUUCUUAUAUUCUGUCACCUUGCUAUUUUCUCUUCUUUCUUCAUUUGUGUAAGUUACUCUCUUCCUUUCUUGCUUGUAUUUCUUGUAUAUUUUUAUUUUUCUUUAAUUUUGUUCCAACUAAUUCUUGAGUCACUUUACUUUUGUUCCUUCUUUCUCUUAGUUCUUUCAACCCCAUUUUCUAGAGCAUUCCUCAUAAUAGCCACCCUCAACUCAUGGCUUUGCCAUGAGUCAAAGUACACAGUACCCAAAGUUCGGUCAGGGCCAUAACGAAGGUUGUUUACUGCAUUAGCCACCCUUAACUUAUGCUUUUGGCAUAAGCUAAGGUGCACAUGUCCAAGGAGGGACCAGGGCCAACACAUUAUUCCCAGAAAAGAUCAGUUGGGGUGAAAAAGAAAGGUCUAAUUUAAGCUCAGAUUAUUUGGAUUAAAGAAUGAUAAAUUUCAUUUGGUUUUCUUUUAUUUAGGCUAAAAUGUGCUAUAUUGCCUAUGAUCCUUUCCUAAUUGUCUAUUACAACCUACUUUUAGCAGAAUUAACCAGACAAGUUCUAGCUUAGUACAAAUAGUGGACUAUUCAAAUCUUCCUCACACUCUCUUGAAAUGUCAUCACUCUACCAGGUUAUCAGACACCUAGUUCGAAUUUUGGACUUAGGGUAAUGUAUUGGUGUACCUCUAUGUCAUGCUUAGAGCCACACAUUUAUCAAUUACUAUGCCUAGUCAUGCAUCAUUUUCCAAUUUAUCAGGACAUCAUUUUAGCCAUCAUGCUCCAGAAUUAAACUAUGUACACAAGAUAUAGACGUGUUGAUUCAACAGAAAAGGUAAUCAGUCUAUUGAGGAAAAAGAAAACAGGCAAGAAAACCCCAAAAGAGGAUAGUGAAUUGGGCUAAUUAGACUUCACCCUAGCACUCACUUUCCAUUUACCCCACCCCUAACAAAAAGACAUGAAAUUGUCCCCAAUAAAUAAAACAUUGAAAUACUAGAGUGGUAGGUGAAGCAAACCUGGGGUGCAAAGCGCCGACGAUCAGCAAGUUGGUGGGUCCGGUUCCCCGGAACCCACUUCCUCUUUAAUCUAGACACCCUCAUUGGUGUCCUCAGAAACAACCGCACUAUUAGCAGUGCCUCUCGCUAUCUCCACAGUUCGGGAGCUAGACGCCCCAGCCGCUAACUCUCCUGCUCUCAUCUGGUGCGCCUCCUCCUCAACAAGCGAGGCUCUCCUUGCAGCCUCAAUCUCACGACGCUCCUUUUUCCGUGCUCGCGCCUCAUCCUCUACUCGAUCCCUACGCCUCUUGUCAUGCUCUCGAGGGAGAGGUGGUGGAAUCUGUGAGGUGGCGAAUAGGGCCGCCAACACUGUGUCUUCAGCAGGCUCGACAGAAGGGUUCUCAUAUUCAGGCACCCUAGCCUCUAAGAUCAUGUCAAUAUCUGCACGAAGACUGUUGAUCGCAGCCUGAAGGGUUGACACAUCCACCGGAGGAGCUGGCUGGGCUAGCACCCGCAACUCAAAAAUGUCCAAGCGCUGGUGAACCUCAGCGAUCUUCCGCUCUAUGUGCUGGACCAUUUUCUGCUCCAAGCGCUCUUCUGCCUCGGUAAUAGACCUCUGCAUCCACGGCUGGAUAUGAUGCAGAAGUGUAGCCAUUUGCGCCUCUAAUUUUUGGACCCUAGCAAGCGAGACAAGGGGUUGUGCGAGAGGAGCUCGGGGCAGUGCUACUACCCCGGAUAGACUCGACCAGGGUAGUGUCAGUGGAAGCCGCAUGCGUAGACGUGCAGUCCUGGGCUACCAUAUCAGCCAGAUCGUCAGCAAGUGGGGGCAGCUCUAGACGGAGCCCUCUGCGUGGAGCCAACUCAUUGGCCUCAUCUCUGAUGAGGCCGACAUCAACAGUGCCUAGAGGGGUCUUGAGAUGAUUAACGUGCCAUAUAGGCACACCUGCGGGCGUGCAGAGAGAAAAGAUCAUGCACGGGAAAGGGUAAGUAGUUGUGAGUCUCGUGCAUGACUUCCUGUAGAAGCCACACAAAAUCCACCUCGAACCCGGCUAUCAUCGCUGCCAUCAGUACUGCUAGAUCCCAUGUGACGAUAUUAUCGACGGCUGUGGGGGAAAGAAAGUUCCGGACAAUCAACCACAAAAACUUUGUCGUGAAAGUCAGGUUGGCCUUCUUGAUGUCCCCUUUUGGCUCGGUCACCCAGUUGGCACCCUCUCCAUCAACGGACAAGUGUAGGGCCAUCCGCCUCUUGGUGGUCUCUCUCAGUGAUGGCUCACACAGGAAUUGUCCAUCUUUAACAAUCUGCCCUCGGUAGUCAAACUCGGCCGUAAGAGGGGUCCGAUUAGUAUCAACAUCCUUGCCGUAUAGAAACCGGCGGAUGGCAGACAGGGAAAUAUCGACCUUAAUGCCCCGUACUAGGACCUGCUCCAGUGGGGCCUAUUUGGCAGGAGCAGCCUGUCUAUCAAUCUGUGAUUGGAGAGUCGUUACGUAGGAUGCAUAGAACUCUCGGACCAGCUCUUCACUAUAACGUCCCAACGGAUGUGCUGUCCACUCCAGUCGAUGUCUUGUGAAGAGAUUGUGGAUCUCAGGCAUCGUUGGGAGACUCCCUGUAAGGACCCGCCGCUCCAACGUGAGUGUUUGAGUCAUAACUCUUUUGUCAUUCAGGAACUUUGUGUCGGAGUAGACUUGAAAUUGUCCGUCGACACACCAUCGGUUGGGCUGGUCAGUAGCCGAGGUAAGGGCAUAAGCUGGUGAACCGGGUGUGGAUUCCGAAGUGUUAGCAUCAUCAGUCGAGGCCGACGCUGCAGCGGUGGAGGGUGCGGGAACCUCAGUAGAGCCAGAGGCUUCCUCCGACCACGAAACUCCUAAGGAGCCAGACGCUCCUUCUUCAUUAGUGGCUGACUCAGAAGGUGUGCCGGUCAGUGUGCGCUCCUCAUCAGACUGGGAGGAAGUGACUAUGCCGAACGCCACCUUUUUGGGUGUGGCUCUGGACGCAUGUGCAGCACGGGAAGGGGUGGAAGUGCCUGGGGGCACGUACUCGGGGUCACGCUCAUCAUCAGAGCCAAUGACCAGGCGGGCAGACGGGGCGACACACUUCGAUCGCCCGCGUGCAUAGACUCAAUCUUGUUUUGGUGCCAUAGUAGAUAGUACCUCUAAAGGAUCAAUAUUAGUACUAGAAGUAGCAAACAAGACAAGCAAAACCAUACAAAAAAAAUUAAACUAAAAUGACAUUUAUAUGGUAACAGUGAAACACGACGGGCCAGGUGACGGCUCGUUGUGACUAUGACGGACUGUCAUGGGGUUCGUCGUAUCUUACUUAGACUUUGUUUAUAUGGAGAACCCUGAAGCAGUGUCUCUGACAAAUAUGACGGUUUGUGCAGGACGGACCGUCACAGGUAGGACGGUCCGUCGUAUGUGUCCGUCAGAGGACAGUUACAAAAAAUAUGGAGACCUUUAGGAGAGGAGUCUCUGACCAUCAGAACAGUCAUGCAUGACGGACCGUCUUGGGUAUGACGGUCCGUCGUACUUGUCCGUUUGAGGACACUUAAGAAAAUGGAGAGAGACCCUUAGGAACAAGGUCUCUGACAACCAAAACAGUUGUGUAGGAAGGGCCAUCGUAGGUAUGACGGGCCGUCACAUGUGUCCGUUGGAGGACACUUAGAAAAAGGGACAGACCCUCAGGGAUAGGGUCUCUGGCAAGAAGAGCGAUUGUGUAGGAUGGAACAUCGUGGGGAUGACAGUCCGUCACAUGUGUCCGUUGGAGGACACUUACAUAAAAUUGGACAGUGGGGUGUUAGGGCUUUGGAAUGGACCCAACGACGGUCCAUCGUGGGUACGACGUUCCGUCAUCAGGGUCUCGUUCUGUAAAUCAGUGACAGAAAUUGGGGUGCCCCGUUCAUCCCUAUGACCCUAAUUGAAUUGAUAGUGUUUAAACCUACAUUUUUCUAACCCAAAUACCUAGCAAUGCCAAAGCACCUAUUUCUAGGGUUUUAAACACGGCUAUUUCUAAGAUUUUAACCUAGGAUAGACAGAAUUUUAUAUAAAAGAAAUGAACAUCUCAAGAAGAACUAGGCUAAUACUAAUUGAUAAACAAAAAGGCAAUAUAAAUGAGUAGAAAUUUUAGACAAAUACCUGAGAAUUUGAGAAAAACAAGAUGGAAAGGUACUUCAUGAUCAAGUAGACACCCACAGCAGCAACUCUCCGACUAGUAGAUGAUGGCUUUUAGGACUUUGGGAAAUAUGGGGGAAAUGAUCGGUUGAACAGAGAGAUGGUUUUGGAAGUUGAAAAGGGAGGGAAAUAGGAGGAAGAGUGAAGGAAUUGGGUGAAAUGAAGGGAUGGGGGUUUUAAAUGUUGAAUUUUUUUAAAACCCCCAGCCGGGUUGGGUUGGGUAUGCCUUAAUAAAGACGUUACGAUUCCACGACGAUGGUCCAUCUCAUAUGUGACGGUCCAUCGUUGGUUCCGUCGUGUGUGCCCUAGUUUUAAAGUAACAGAAAGACAUACCUGGCACGAUGGAUUCAUGCGAUGGUCCAUCACAGUUGAAACGGUCCGUCGCUGAAUCCGUCACUGAUUGCUGCAGAGUAAUCUUUACAGAAUUUCCUGAUGAUAUGCCUGCAAAUUAAAAACCCAUUAGUAGAAAAUGCAACCAUUACUAGAAAGAAAAACUAUAAUUAUUUGGUUGCCUCCCAACAAGUGCCUGAUUUAACGUUGCGGCACGACUGAGGACACUUGAUUACUCAGCCUUCAUCAAGAUGGUAUGCCUCUGUCACUUCAUUCACUGAUGCAGUAUGCCCAAAAUAGAGUUUUAUUCGUUUUGUAUUCACCUUAAACCGCACUCCCUCCUUGGUUUUUAACUCAAUUGCUUCAUGAUGGAAUACUUGGGUGAUCAAGUAAGGGCCAGUCCGUUUGGACUUGAGGUUGCCCGAAAGACAAGGUAACCCAGAUCUAUCUAAAAGUACUAAAUCCCCAGCCAUAAACUCUUGUUUUGCACUUUUUUCUUCAUUCUCCUUCUUAAUCUUUUCUUAGUGGGAUAUGGCGGAUACCGAUUGGAGCUCACCAUUCUGCCUCAUGGUCCUACAAACGUUGAAGGUCGCUUCUUCAUUGUUCAACUGAAAUUUUAUCUGCCCCUUUUCCGUAUCAACUACGGCUCUACCUGUAGCAAGGAAUGGCCUCCCAAGAAUAAUAGGCACUUCAAAAUCGACUUCACAAUCAAGAAUAACAAAAUCUGUCGAAAAUAUGAAUGACUCCACUUUUACUAGCACAUCAUGGAGUAUCCUUAUAGGCCUUUUCACUGUUCGAUCAGCCAUCAGUAGCCGCAUCACAGUGGGUUUUGGGUCACCUAAACCCAACUUCUUGUAAAUCGAGAGGGACAUGAGAUUUAUGCUUGCCCCAGAUCCCAUAAUGCUUUCGCAAAACGUAAUGACCCCACUGUACAAGGAAUAGUGAUCGCACCCGAAUCUUUUUUCUUUUGUACGAGAGAUCUUGUAGCAACAGCACUACAAUGCUGCAGUGUAUCAUCAUUCUCGAAAGUGACCAAUAUUUUCUUUGUAACCAGAUCUUUCAUAAAAUUCCCAUAACCGGGCAUUUGUUCAAGAGCUUCUACCAAAGGGACAUUGAUAGAAAGCUGCUUCAGCAUUGUUAUAAAACGCCGAUAUUUACCAUCCUCGGUCUUUUUCACUAAUCUUUGAGAAAAGGGUGGUGGUGGUCUAGGUAGGGACUUCUGCAUCUUUUCCAGUGCUCUCUUCUGCUUUACUACUGCCCUUUACCAUCUUAUCAUCAUCCUUUCUCUGUUUUUCCUCAUUAGACGUCAUUGGUGGGUCAAUGGUUUGCUUGCCACCACGAGUGGUGAUUGCCAUACAGUGUGCGUCAUUUUUCAAAUUUUGGACAGUGUUGCUAGGAAGAGUGCUCGGUUGCCGUGUGUUCACAGUCGCAGAUAAUUGGGCCAUUUGCAACUCGAUUUGCUUAAUCAAUAUUGCAUGUGUAUCGACUUUUUGCCCAAUACCUUCUAAAUCACACCUUAACUCUUUAAUGUGCUCAUCACUAGAAUCGAACCUUCUCAUCAUUUUGUGCAACAUAUCCUCAACUAGCGCCAUAUUAUCUCCACAAUCCCUAGGAUUAACUUCACGAUUUUGAGGAGGGACAUAGGGCCCAUUCCAAUCAUUUCUGUUACCUUAACUACCCCUGUUGAAGUUGUUGUCAUGGUUGUAGUUUCCAUCUCGGAAAUAAUGACCCUCACGGUUGUAGUUACCAUAGAUCCUACCUUGGUUCCCUUGACCUGGGCGCCAAUUAUCCUGAUUUGAGCCUUGGGCGCUCGGUCAGAAACCCCCUGUGUGCUCAUUUACUGCAUAGGUGUCCUCCGCAUAAUAGAAUUAAUCAUUAGGUGGCGGUGGUUUCGAUAAGUAGUUGAUUGCAUUUAUCUUUUCUGCACCCCAGUGACAUGUUUUAGUAACAACCCAAGCUCAGUUCUCAUCUGAGACAUUUCUUCACGAAUCUCAUAUGUGGCUGGGUUGUGAGUGGACUGUACUGUGAAGGUAUUUCACCCAGUAUCUGACUUCCUAGUACUCCAAGCUUUAUUGUUCCGUGAGAUUUUCUCUAAUUUUUUCAGCAAUCUCAGCAUAAGGGCACUCCCCAUAAGAUCCACCUGCUAUAGUGUCCAACACCUCUUUAUUAUUAUCAUCCUGUCCUCGAUAGAAGUAUUCCUUCAGUGACUCAUCAUCUAUACUGUGAUUUGGGACACUUCUCAAGAACGAGAUGAAUCUAUCCCAAGAACUACUAACUGACUCUCCUGGUAGUGCCACAAAGUUGUUCACUCUGUCUUUGUGGUUUAGUUUCUUGGAGACCGGAUAGUAGCGUGCUAAGAAGACAUCCCUUAGUUGGUUCCAAGUGAAAAUUGAGUUAUAAGGGAGCUCAUUGAACCGUAUAGCAGCCUCUCCCGUCAGUGAGAGAGGAAACACUCUAAGCCCUAUUACAUCCAAGUCCAAGUCAGGCCUCCCUACACAGCUUUUAAACACUUCCCUUACCUUAGAUAUAUGGGCAUGUGGAUCCUCAGAAGGUAGCCCUGAAAACAAACCUCUGGCAGUGAGCAUUUGCAUCGGGCUACUAGUUACCACAAAAGUAUGGCCUGGUGGUAAAGAAGGCAAGACAAGUGUCCCAUCAAAGUCUGCUAUGUUGUCAUAGCCUCUGUAGUAUGCUUGGGGUCGUGGAGCGGGAUUUUGUCUUCUCUGUUGGUGUUCACCCAGAGCAUUGGGUAACAACUGACCAUGAACAUCAACCGGAGCUAGGAUGUUCUGGUUUGGAUCAUCAUCAUUAAUUCCCAAGUUUCUAUUCAUGUUGCAUAGUGUACGCUCUAAUUUGUGAUCGUAGGGAAACAAGGGCUCGCUUCCUCUUCGUGUAGUUGGCAUACAAGGAGGAUGGUUCUGCAAGAAUCAAAAACAAUAAAACAAAGUAAAAUCAAAAAAUUAUCAACUAAAUUAUAGUAAUAAGUUUAAGUUAAUCUAAAAGCUACUUUCCCAGGCAAUGGUGCCAAAAUUUGACACGCUCAAACUUACUUCUCAAAUAAGAAGUAAAGCGCUCGUGACAAGUAAAUAACCCAACUAGUGAGGUUGGGAUCGUUCCCACGAGGAAAAUAAUUUAGACUUAACUUCAAUCUACUAUUACUAUUGUUCGGUCAAUUACUUCCUUGGAGAGCAAAAAUAAUAAAAGGGGGGUUUCUAUUUCUAAAUAAAUGAAAACAACUAGCGAAAUUGAAAGAGACACUUAACAUCUUCGAAUGUUGGAGUUUAAUCAAUUAAUCAAAGUAACUAGGGUUUACGUGUUCCCCACAGGUUCAUAACUUGAUAAUUCUAACUAUAACAAUUAUUUCCUAGUAUCUUGCAUGCAAAGUGAUAAGUUAUGUAUUUCUAAAUCCUUGGUCCGGCAUCUAGAAAAUUUCACUCCGCACCUUGGUUCGGCUACGUGUGUUGCUAUCCUGACCGUUAUCUUUACCUCAUAUUAAGCAUCGUAUUCGAUAUUUGACUAAGUUAUUACCUAGUACCAAUUUAUACUAGCCUAUUAGAUAUUGUACACUAAAUCUAUGUUGAUAAUUCUUUUCCUAUUAUCUACCUCCUUGGUCCGGCAAGUAGCAUUAAGGUGAGUUCUAACGUUGGCCAUCCGUUAAAAAGACUUCUAACCAAAAGAAUUAUUAAUACAUUCAAGACACUAUUCUAGAAUUGUUAUUUUAGUUAGGUUUUACCUUAUUAUUAGCCUAUGGUUCCCACAACCCUAGUUAGGGAGUUUAGUUACCCAUAGUCAUAAUUACAAUAUUCAAAUAUGUGAUGUAAGAAUUCAUGCACUUACUUUAAUGAGAAAGAGUAAAAUACGAAAGGUCGCUUGAUUUAUCAACAAAAAUCACCAACAAUCACUUACAAGAAUCUAAAAGUAAUCAAGAAUCUCACAAAAAGUCUAAUGAUAAUCAAAGGCCUAACCAAAUAAUCCAGAGUCUCACCUAAUAAUACAGAUUCUAACCUCAAAAAUGAGGUUUUUCGAAAUAUUUAUAGAAAAUAAAAACCUAAGUAAACAAGGAUCUAUUUGCUGGAAAUCUGUCAAAACGCGGCUGCGUCGACGGACCUCGCGACGGAUCAUCGUGGUCACGACAGACAAUCAUGGACUCCGUCAUCCCAUGCUUGUGCAAUCUCUUCUGCUGCUCUCAUCAUUACCCUCGAUGGCAAGUAUGACGGAUCGGCACAGACACGACGGUCUGUCGAGGGUCUUCAUUCCAAAAUACUUAAUCUCUCUGAACUUUAUGACGAACCUGCAGGACGGACCCUCAAAGACACGAUGGACCGUCAUGGACUCCGUAACCCCAUACUUGGUCAAACUUCCCCAUCUUCCUUCAGCAGCUGCACUACGCUGCCACCUACGGACCGUCACAAGCAUGACGGACCAUCACAAGCUCCGUAGGUGGUCUCUUCUGCAUUUCUUUGCUCAAAAACCUCUGCAAUCAUCUUUGGAAAUAUUUCCUACAAAUAAGGAGAAACUUAUAUAAAAAUUAGGAUAAAAAGGCUUUUGGACACACUAAACUUAAGGAAAAACUAUUAAUAAUACCGUGAAACCACGGUAUAUCACACAUCAAAUGUUAGAACUUCACUUCAUAUAUAUAAAAUAUCAUAUUUACAUAAUUAGUUUCUAAGUAUCCUUUUGCCAUCUUAGACCCAACAUCAAUAGAAUAGUAUAGGGACACGUCCCUUAAAAACAUAAAAUAAUAAUCUAAACUAUUACACAAACUUUGAAUAACAUCUUGACGUAGAAAUCCUUGAAUCUUAAGGAUCCCCUUUUGAGUUUCAAAAACAUCUAUCAAGCUCUUCACCUUAAGGAACAUUUUCUAGCCAUCACCACCUACACUUUGUGUAAAACGAUCAAGAAGAAUGAUAUUAGUACAAGAAUGCACUAAGUAUGGCAAUCAUGCAAAACAUGCAUUUAAAUAGGACAUUCAUUAGAAAUCAUGCAACAUGCCUUUUUGAAGAAACUUCAUACACAUUGGCACAAUAACUCAAUAUAGUUCACAUACUUCAUAUAGACAUGUACAAUAGUCAUAGCAUCACAUAAAAGCAACAUAUCAAAUUUAAGGCACAUUAAUCAUUUCCAUAACAUUAUCUUUCUUUUUACCUUAACUCCUUACCCCAAAAUAACCCUUUAGUAAUACUUGGUGCAAUGCAUGAAUAGUGUCCCAUUCCGCCAUCCACACUCAAGCAUCACCUUAAGAUCACCAAGGUGAAUAUUCAAAUAACCUUCAUUGACUCAAACAUAUACGUUCAUAGAGGCACAUCAUAUAAUACAAUACAUACUUCACAUAAGAAACAUCAUACUUCAUAAACCUCAUGUAAAACUCAUCACUUCAUAAUCUUGCCCUGUUUAGUCCUUAUACUCAUUUAAAGACAACAUGCAAAUCAAUACUACCAAUAUCAUCAUAAUAAGAAAAUGGUCAACAAUUGCAUAAUUGAACUUCAUUUCAUUAAUACAUCAUAAGACCUUACUAAUAAUCUCAAUCUAGGCCUUAUAGUCCAAUGCACAUGUGAAGAUCCAUAACCUCAAACAUACUAAGUAAACACACAAAGAGAGUACAAGUCUUACAAUUUACGUCAUACCUCAACAAGAGAAGUAUAGCAAACUACUUGCAUAUUAGGUAUGACCUUCACCAUAUAGACACAAUUGGAUCAAUAUUAUGCAUAUUAUAAUAACAAGUAGGCUAAAACCAUAAUGUCACACAUGAGACACACACACACACACACAUAUAUAUAUAUUAGAGAGAGAGAGAGAGAGAGAGAGAACUCCUUCCUAAGAUUCCCUUGAUGCUACUUGUGCAAUGCAUAGGUACAGUUACAUAACCUCACCUACACUAAGUAACUUCCCUUAGUUAGUCCUAGUUUGGCUUGAUCAUUUCACUUCCAUUGUUCAUUUUACUUUUGGCAAAAAUUUUCCUUAACCGACAAAAAGUCCACGUAAGCUAAACAUAGAAUCUGGUGUCAUGGAACUCUAUACUGAAAAGAGGUUCUCUACUUGCCAAGGUAGAACAUGAACAUCAUGCUAGCAUAUAUGUGGAUCCACUUACUAGGUCCUAUUGGGGAAACAUAUUUAAAGAUAUAGGAGGUUACUACUAAAACCAUUUUCAAGCUAAAUAGCAUUGUAGUUCCUACCUCAUGAGAAACCAUAAGGUGAACCUCCCUUCCUUUGGGGAGUCAACAUCUCUCAUUGUCAAGGUCACUCGGUGCUAAGCUAACUUUCCUUUUUAAAAAGCCUUUUAAGUCUUUUAUUAGUAUUACUUAAUAAGAUAGUCUUUAAGACAUUAACCUGUCAAAUACAUAUCUAUAGCUCAUAGGGUAAUGAUGAGAAUGUCCUUUCAUCAAAACCUAAGUCAUGUGAGAAUAUACUUUCACAUGGUCAUAUCAUAUUCAUAGUAUAGUCUAGUUUAGAGUACAAUUGAGUAACACCUUCGAAAAACCCUACUUUACUAGAUUCUCAUAAUAUGCUUCAUUUAUACAUUCAUGUGUGUGUAUGUGUACAUAUAUAAGAAAACCUUUCAUAUAAACACAUUUAGACACCACAUAUUCAUACUUCAUCUUUCAUAUACUUUAUAUUCAUAAUUAUAUCUUAAAUCAUACUUUCAUAACAGAAGUGCAUAAAGAAAUCACCCUAGGAAUCCCUUAAGGUUAACAUGUUCAAUGUAUAGGUAAUGUCUCAUACCCUUACCUACACUAACACACCGAUAAAUUCAUCCUAGUUAAGAUACUUGUUUCAUACUUUCAUGAACAUAUUACACUUGUAUUCGUGCAUGAGGUGUGUAUGUACAUAUUUGUCAUCAUGAUCACACAAUAGCAACAACAUGGUUUUAGGAAGACACCCUCUAAAGACCAAAACACAUGCAUAACAUCCCUCAUGUUUUAAGUCACACACAUAUAGUAUUAAGGACUAUAUACUACACAUACACAUUACAUCAUAUGAGACAAGAACAUAUCCAACAUUUGAAUAGAAGACUUCCAAUUAUGCAUAUAAGACAACACAAUCAUAUAAGGGUACAUAGGUAGGGGGUCACCCUAGAAUGGCAUUCAUCACAACCAAACAUGUAGACCAUACCUAACCCUAACAUAAUAAUUCACAUGUUGAUAACAUUAUCAAUACACCCUAGAUAAUAAACUAGAAUAAAAGUCUAGGCAAUUAACUUCAUGUGUGUGAUCAUCAUUACCAUGCUUCACAAAACAUAAAUGGACUUCAAGGCCAUGAUCACAACAUAUAGAGAAUGGAAAGAAUGUAAACACCGCCACCAUAAUUGGACCAUACCACACAAUGUCAACUCCAAGACUACCAUCAGGAAUUAUGUUAAAUCACCAAUUCUCUAAGCUUUGAUCAUGAUUGAUCUAUUUCCAAUAAUUCAUAACCAAUUUAUGUAGAUAACAAUAGCAAUAUGAAAUACAACAUAAUCGAAUCAUAGUCUCAUCAACAUCUAAACAAGAUCACAAGACUCACAUUAUAGGCUAAAUUGAGAAAUUAUAAAGAUCAUGGGUUCUUUAUAAAAUUGGAUUGAAAAUCAUCAUAGAAUCAGUGAUUAAUCAUGACUCCAUUAUUAAAAUGCUUUUGAAAUAAAUUUGACAAUGAACUUAUGGCUAGACUGAAAGAUAGGCAAUGUAAUUAUAGAAUCACUUUGAAAAAACUUUGAAAAAAUUCCUUAGAUGAAAGGUAAACUAAGGAUAAAUGAUUAUCAUACCUUAACACAAGACAAACCACAAAAACUUCAAAAGAAAACACUUUGAAAUCCAUCUUCGUAGCUUGUUCUUGAGCUUAGUCUUCAAUGGAGGUUUUUGGGAGUUCUUAUUUGGGAGGGAAGGUUUAGAUUUUAAGAAUCAAUUGUGAAUGGCGUUUUCAUGUUAUUAACCAACUUAAAAUGCCUAAAAUGGAAAAAAAAACCGCCCAUACCUUAUUUGGAACCUGAGAUGAAUUUCCCAAUUCACCCUUCACUUGGCAGCAUUUAAGAGACAGAAUUACAGGUUCAUUCGACGUGCACGGUGACAUACCGUCGAUGGAACGACAGGGACGUCUUUCACUCUGUCGUUUUUGACUGAUACCUUAUUUUUGGGGUCUGAUAUCACACGCCUAAGUGAGGAGCGACUCCCACAAUCGACCGGGCGUACUACAAUUUAUGGGGCAUCAUUUGCAUGGCCGUUGAUUGAGAUUGCCAAGACAAUGUCUUUGUCAGCUUUUUGGUCCUCCUCAAGGACCCUUUGGGUGGUACUUGGAGAGUCGUGCUCGAAAGUUUUGACCUUUAAUACGACCAUAUAAAUUUUAGGAUCCUAUCCUAUCAUUUUAGGCACCAAAAAACAUGUAAAACAUGCAAAGUCACACUAGCACAUAACAUGACUAGUUUCAAAAAGUCUUGGUCGUUCUUGGACGUUUGACCUCCAACCCUCUUCAAAUAAACUAUACAAGUUGUGAAACACUUCAUUAACAUGUUAUUAAAUAUUUAAGGAACAUGUGAGGCUCUAGACACCUCAGUUAGUGCACCAAAAUUUCAAGGAACACCAACUUCAUGCUAUUAUGCACUCAAUGCAACCCAAGCAUGUAAAAACCUUAUUCACUCACUCCUAAUGCAUAAAAACAUAGGUCUUUCUCAUGUUCAUAGGAGGAACGUCCUUCUCAUAAUCAUUACAUGGUACUUACUUUUCAUUUCAUUAAAAUCUCAACAUGCAAUAUUAUUUAAUUCACAUGUAGGCAUGUUCAACAUUAUCACUCAAGAGGCCAAAUAAGUAACUCAUACUAAAUGCACGUAGAUUUUGAGUAAUAUAGAUCAACAAAGAUCCUUAUCACUUAGACAUAAUACCAUCAAAGACAUAUAUAACAUAACCAUGUUUAGUUGUGUUUAAGGAGGAAUAACCUUCUCCGUAAGAUACUAACAUGUCAUCUUAGAGUUCAUAUAAUAGCAAUGCACAAAGGUCAAUUCAUUUUAAAGAGAACUUCUCCACUUUUAACCAAAGCAUGCUCAUACGCCCUUUCCUUGUGAAGUCAAAAUGGUAGGUCACACCAAGUACAUCAUAACAUUAGGGAGUAAAUACACUAUUUCCUAUUUCUAAAAUAGCACUGUCUUUCAUAAAUAUGCAUCAUUUAGGAAAAUCGUUACAAUUCAUAAGCAGACAUAAAUAGUAUUGGGUAUACUCAGUUUGCAAGAGUGAGCCUACAUUCAUACUUCACAAACCACAAAAAUCACAUAUUUCAAAGGUACUCAUCUUUUCUCAUUUAAAGAAAACUCAACACCUCAUUAUGAAGCAAAAACACCCUCACAUCAAAAGGAUUAUCAAACCAUCUCAUGAAGAAAAUGCACAUUUAUCAUAUCAAGAUGCAUAACUACAUGAGCAACAUGCAAUUUAUCAAAAUCCCUUUUCAUGCAAUAUGAAUUCAUGCAUAACAUAGUGUCAUUUACGACGUGCAUAACAUAUGGAGAACAUGCAACUUAUACUCAUAUGCAAGACUCUCAUCAUAAACAAGCUACUUAGGAACAUUUGGUUUCAAGCAGGAAUAUGAAUAGAAGGAAAAGAUAGGGAUAUCUACGACCUUACUACUCACAUUACCAUCCACUACUUAGGGUAAACUCACUUUAGAGGAACUUAUUUCAUUCAAGAGAACUUAGAUUUACCAACCUUAAAAACUAAGAACAUCAUCACCCUCUCUUAGGAUCUAAGCUUAUACGCACUCUUCUUAACAUCACCUCAAAGUGACUCUCAACAUAGAGAAGUUAAAGGGAACUCAAUAUUGGACCAUUUAGGACAUUUAAGGACUUACCAUCUAGGCACAUUAUCCCCACUUGGAGUAAGACAAUUCAUUUUUUUAUCACUUCAUGCCCUUAAACACCAAGUUCAAAGCAACUCAAGACCAAACCUAUAUAUAGGAGGUUUGAAAUUAUUGAGGGUUCCCACUCCUAAUCUCAUGUAAAGAAGCCUACUAACUCACUCAUCAAAAGGUACUACUCAAGCAUCAUCAUUCCUCUAAGUCUAACACCUAAAGAAAACUCAUAAAAAUCAAGUUAGGUCAUACUAUCCAACCACAUAAGGCCUUAACUACACCAUGAAUACCAAGGGUAAUUCCAUAUCUUAUCACAUUCUACCACCAAGUCUUAACUAGGUAACUAGUUUCAGAUUCAAGCCUACUAGAAUCAUCACCUUUGGUGGAACCUUACAACCAACCAUGCGUAGGUACAAUCUAAGAACUUCCUCAAAUGGAAAUACUUAAGAUCAAUCCUAAAAAACAACUAACCACUUCAAAAGUAGGUCAACAUAAAUUUUCUCCUUCUCCUUAAGAGUUAAGGGGUAUAUACAUUCCUUUAGGUCAACUUUAGAGUAAAAUAAUUACCACUUAUGGAAUAAAACCCUUUAUUAGUUUUCCCUACUCUUAGAAUAGGUUCAUAUAGGGACUCAUCAACUAGUCAUAAGGGUUCUCCAAUUAACUAGCAUACUUCACAAUCACCUUACAAGGUAACCACACUACCUUCUCUCCUUAGAAUCACGCCUAUUCAAAAGACUCCACUCCACACUAGGGCAAUUAUGGAGUAUUACCCGUAUAUAAAGGGCAAUAUUCAUCUUUCACUAUUUAUCACAUUUUCUCCAAAGUAUUUCAAGCCUAUACCAAUGCAUUAUACCACCUCAUUGCACACAACCAUAAAGCAACCUAUUAUUCCACAAGAGGACUUUAUUCAACUAUAACAAUUCCUAACAAGCUAUAACUAUAUCAUAACAUAACUUCUCAACAUAAUACCUUAUUUCUCAUAGAUCACAUAUGGCCAUAAAUGUCUUCAUAUCACCCAUCAAGUCAUAAUAACCAUAAUAAGCAUCAAAACUCACCUUUCCUCCCUUAAGCCUAAAGACAUCAUUUCCUCCAAACAAUCACAUCUAAAAGACCACCGGACAAGGAAACAUAAGCGAGAGAGAUCAUAUAGAUUUAACUUCUAUGGAACGACACAAGAGUAGUGAAGAAAGUGAAACUCUAUCCUCCUAUUGCCUCUCGCUCAUAGAUGUGUCGCGACUCACACCGAUGAACAACACUCUACUAGACGUGGCAAUAUGAGACUUUGGAUCCUAAACCACUUUCUAUAACCUAAUGCUCUGAUACCACGUUUGUCGCGAUCGGAGAGCACUCCUAGUAGUAAUAUGGCAUACUUGACCUUGCGGAGGUCUCGUACAAAUCCAUAACAUCAUUCAUUGCAUAGACAUAGAAAUUUAGAGAAAAAUUAAAACUUUUUAUAGCACAUCAAAUGCUAUAAAUCACUUUUUAUAUAUAAAAUAUCAUAAGUACAUAAUUAGACACUAAGUCUCCUUUUGCCAUAUUACACUCAAAAUCAAUAGAAUUGUAUAGCAACACGACCCUUAACAACAUAAAAUAGUAAUCUAAACUAUUACAUAAAAUUUGAAUAACAUCUUGACAUGGAAAUCCUUGAAUCUUAAGGAUCCCUUUUUGAGCUUGGGAAACAUCUAUCAAGCUCUUGACCUCAAGGAACAUCCUCUGGCCAUCACCACCUACACUGUGGAAAAAGAUGAAGAAGAAUGGUAUUAGAAGAAUAAUGCAUUGAGUAUGACAACCAUGCAAGAACAUGCAUUUAAAGGGGACAUUUCAUUAGAAAUCAUGCAACAUGCCUUUGUAAAGAAACAUCAUAAACAUUGACACAAUAACACAAUAUAGUUCACACACUUUAUAUAGACAUGUUCAACAGUCAUAUCAUCACAUAAAGAAACAUAUCACAUUUAAGGCACAUUAAUCAUUUCCAUAACAUUAUCUUUCUAUUUUCCUUAACUUAUUUACCCUAAAGUAACCCUUUAGUAAUAAUUGGUGCAAUGCAUGGAUAUUGUCUCAUUCCACUAUCCAAACUAAAGCAUCACCUUAAGGUCACCAAGGUGAACAUUCAUAGUCUCUUGAUUAACUAAAACAUAUACAUUCAUAGAGGCACAUCAUAUAAUACAAUACAUACUUCACAUAAGAACCAUCAUACUUCAUAAACCUCGUGUAAAACUCAUCACAUCAUUAUCUUUGCCCCUUUAUUCCUUCUACUCAUUUCAAGAAAACAUGCAAGGAAUACUACCAAUAUCAUCAUAAUAAGACAAUAGUCAACAAUUGCAUAAUUGAACUUCAUUUCAUUAAUACAUCGUAAGACCUUAAUCAUUAUCUCAAUCUAAGCCUACCAAUGCAAUGUACAUGGAAGCCCCAUAACCUCAAACAUACUAAGUAAACCCACAAAGAGACCACAUGCCUUACCAUUUACUUCAUACCUAAGCAAGACAAGUAUAACCAACUACAUGCAUAUCAAAUAAGAACUUCAUCAUAUAGACACAAUAGGAUCAAUACUAUGCGUAUUAUCAUAACAAGGAGGCCAAUACCAUAAUUUCAUACAUGAGAGACAUAUACAUAUGCAUAUACAUAUACAUAUACAUAUAGAACUCCUUCAUAGGAUUCCCUUGAAGAUCUACUUGUACAAUUCAUAGGUAAAGUACCAUACCCUCACUUAUACUAAGCAACUUCCCUUACUUAGUCCUAGUUAGGGUUCGUGAUUUUACUUCCAUUAAUCAUUUUACUUUCGGUAAAACGUUGCCUUAAUUGACAUUAAGACCAUGUGAGCAAAACAUAAAAUCCAAUGUCAUGGAACCUCAUACUGAAAAGAGGUGCUCUACUUGCCAAGGUAGAACAUGAACAUCAUGCUAGCAUAUAUGUUGAUCCACUUGCUAGGUCUUACAGGGGCAACAUAGUUAAGGAAUUAGGAAGUUCUUACUAGAACCAUAUUUAUGCUAAAAAGCAUUGUAGUUCCCACAUCAUGAGAAACAAUAGGGUGAACCUCCCAUCCUUUGGGGAGUCACGCCUCUCAUUUUCAAGUUCACUCGGUGCUAAGGUAAUUUUCCCUUUUAAAAAGCCUUUAAGUCUUUUAUUAGCAAUACUUAAUAAGAUUGGCUUUAGGAUAUUAACCCCUCAUAUACAUAUACAUAGCUCAUAGGUUAAUGAUGAGAAUUUCCAUUCAUCAAAACCUAACUAAUGUGAGAAUAUCCUUUCACAUGGUCAUAGUAUAUUCAUAACACAGUCUAGUUUCGAGUACAAUUGAGUAAUACCGUUCAAAGGACCCUAGUAUACUAGAUUAUCAUAACAUGCUUCAUUAAUACAUUCAUGUGUGUUUAUAUGUACAUAUAUGAGAAAACCUUUCAUAUAAACACAUUAAUACACCACAUAUUCAUACUUCAUCAUUCAUAUAUUUUACAUGCAUAUUCAUAGCGAAAUUAUAAAUUCAUAACUAAAGUGCCCUAGGAAUCCCCUCAAGGUCCACAUGUGCAAUGUAUAGGAAAAUUCACAUACCCUUACCUGCACUAGUACACAUAUCAACUCAUCCUGGUUAAGAUACUUUUUUCAUACUUUCAUGAACAUAUUACACUUAUAGUCGUGCAUGAGGUGUGUGUAUAUAUUGGUCAUCAUGAUCACAGAAUGGCAACAACAUGGUAUUGAGGAAGCAACCUCUAAAGACCACAACACAUGUACAACAUCGCUCAAGUCUUAAGUCACACAUAUAUAGAGUAUUAUGGACUAUAGAUUACACACACAUUAUAUCAUAGGAUACAAGAACAUAUCCAAUAUUUGAAUAGAAAACUCCUAAUCAUGCAUAUAAGAACAUACAGUUAUAUAAGAAUACAGAGGUAGGGGAUCACCUUAAAUGACAUUCAUCAACCAAACAUAUAGACCAUACCUAACCCUAAAAUAAUAAUUCACAUGUUCAUAACAUUAUCAAUACACCCUAGAUCAUAAACUAGGAUGGGAAACUAAGUAAUUAACUUCAUGUGUAUAAUCAUCAUAACCACACUUCACAAACAUCAACUGAUUUCAAGGAUAUGAUCACAACAUAUAGAGAAUGAAAAUAAUGGAAAUAACGCUACCAUAAGUGGACCAUACCACUCAAUGUCAACUCCAAAACUACCAUAAGGAAUUUAGGUAAAAUUACCAAUUCUCCAAACUUUGUUUAUGAUUAAUCAAUUCCAAACAACUCAUAAGCAAUUUGCACAGAUUGAAAUAGCAAUAGGCAAUACAACAUAAUCGAAUCAUAAUAUCAUCAACAUCUAAACAAGAUCACAAGACCCACAUUAUAGGAUAAAUUGAGAAAUCGACGUGAACAUGGGUUCUUCAUAAAAUUGGAUUGAAAAUCAUCAUAAAACCAGUGAUAAUCAUAAAUCCAUUAUUAGAAUGCUUAGAAAUCAAUUUGAAAAUGAACCCAUGGCUAGAUUGAAAGAUAAUCAAUUAGAUCAUAGAGUCUCUUUAAAAAACUUAAAAAGAACUCCUUAGAUGAAAGGUUAACUAAGGAUGAAGGAUUACCGUACCUUAACACAAGAGAAGCCACAAAAUUUUGAGACUUGAAAUCCAUCUCCAUAGCUUUUUGUUGGUCUUAGUCUUCAAUGGAGGUUUUCAGGAGUUCUUAUUUGAGAGGGAAGGUUUAGAUUUUGAAGAAUAAAUUGUUAAUGAGGUUUCAUGUUAUUAACGAACUGAAAAUACCUGAAAAUGGAUAAAAUAACCACCCAUACCAUAUCUGGAACGCGGGGUGAAUUUUCUCUAUUAUCCCCUCAGUUGGCAAGGUUUAAGAAAUAGAAUUGUAGGUUCAUUUGAGGUGUAGGGUAAUAGACCGUCGAUUAAAUAACGGGUCCAUCCUACACUCCGUCAUUUUUUAAUAAGACCUUAUUUUUAGGGGGCUAAGCUCAAAUGCCUAAUUGUGGAGCUAUGCCCCGAAUCGACGAGGCGUAGACCAGUAUAUGGGGCGUCGUUUUCCUGUGCAUCGAUUAACAUUACUAAGGCAGUGUCUUGCCAGCUUUUGGGUCCUCCUCAAAGACCCUUAUGGGGGGUCCUUGGGAAGUCGUGCCCAAAGGUUUUGAUCCUUAAUACGACCAUAUAAAUGUUAGGGUACUAUCCUAUUAUUUUAGGAACCAAACAACACGUAAAACAUUCAAAGUCACACUAGUACAAACACGACUAGUUUCCAAACGUCUUGGUCGUUCUUGGACGUUUGACCUCCAACCCUCUUCAAAUAAGCUAUACUAGUUGUGUUACACUUAAUUAACAUGUUAUUAACUAUUUAAGGCACAUGUCAGUCUUUGGAAACCUUAGUUCAUUUUUGAGUGUCUUACACCACAAAAAGUAGUCCACUGAAUCUUUCAAAUUAAAAACAUAGUCGGAGUCUUCGAGCAUAAGCUAUCUCCUAAAUUAUACAUAUUUCUCCAUGUAUCACUCUUUUAACUAUAUAUUUUGACCUCAACUGUAGAAUAACUUCCAUGUUGGUGAAUUGAAACAAUUCAUACUACCUUAUUAUCAUCAAAUAACUCAUCAUAUCCAAAACCAUAUGAGAAAUUGGUAUUGCUCGUCAAUCUACGUAUAGAAUGAGACAAUUUUUUAUACUUUUUAAUUGUUGGAUUCCAUAAGAAGAAGUAUCUUCUUCCGUCGGAAUGACAAAUACAUUCAUUGAUUUAACCCACAAUGUAGAAAGAAGUAUCACACCUUAAAUAGACUAAUAGACCACAAUGCUUGAGAGUAAGAUUUGAGAGAUAAUGUAGGAAUAAAACCGAGUUUUCAAUAUUGAUCUCGCCUAUAUAUCCUUAGACCUUAGAAAUUAGGUUGUUUAUAGUUUAAGUCCAUCAGUUGAAAAGGAAAUAUAUUAUGCAAGAUAAACCUUGGUUUUGAAGGAGUGACAAAUAUAGCGAGUAUGAAAAAGAGUAUUACAACCUCUUAGCCAUGAAUAUUCUGCACUUCACACCCAUAAUUAAGUUACUGUCACUCAGAUUAAAUAGUUUCCUAUGCUGAGAGAUAAAUGUUUUUUGGAUGCGAAAUUGAAAGAGAUAAACCCAAAGAAAAACCCACAUGUCUUCUUACAGGGGUGUGGUUUGAUUAUGGUGGAUGUUUAUACUCAACUCAUGUCCUAAUAGUUUUAUAUUCCUCAUUGGACUAAAUCCUUGUUUGCUGCUAAGAAAAAAUUUCACGUUGUGUUGCAUCCUUUUUUAUGUCAUUUGCACCUGUUGUUUGAUAGAAUUCAUCUUCUUGGAUGCUCUCGGCAAAGACAGUAAUAAACUUGUUAGUAGAAACGAUAAUUUAUAUAGAGAAGUGCUAUGUUUAACCAUAUUCAACAUAUUUUUUAAUUUCUAUUUUUCACUUCUGACGUCAGACUCCAUCAGUUUUGACGCGGUAGAUGAUUAAUUGACAUAAAGCGACAUAAUGACGCUUUCUCGAUAAUGUAAUAUUGUUGAUAAUGAAUAUUCAUUUAUAGGAUAAUGUUCUUGAUUGAUAAGAUGACGUUGCUACAUUUAUGAUCCAUUGCCAGGAUAAUAUUGAUCCAAUUGUAGGUUGAUGUUGCUACAUCGACGAUCCAUUGACAGGAUGAUGGUACUCCAAUGGUAGGUUAAUGUUGUCGAAACUUGAAUGGUAAAAUUAUAUUGCUAUAUUGAUGAUCCAUUGGCAGGAUUAUGUUGCUCCAAUGAUAGGUUGAUGUUGUCAAAGCUUGAUUGGUAAGAUGAAAAUUGUGUAUCGGCAAUAUUAUGUUGAUUGAUUCAGCAAUGAUAUUAUUACUGUUUAUAAUAUAAUACAGAUGACCAUCUUAGUGGUUUGAUUAUGUAAUGACUUUCUUUGCAUUGGAAGAUGCAAUGUUCCUCUUAGAAUUUUGAAUGUAUAAUGGUCCUCUUAACAGUUUGAAUAAUGGGCUUUCGGUAUUUUAUGUAAUGGCUUCGUCUUGUCAUUAGAAGAUGAUGAACCUCUCGUAGUUUAUAGAUGAUGGACCUCUUGUCCUUUGAAGAUGCAAUGACCCUCUUGGCAUUUGAAGAUGCAUUGGUGACCCUCUAAGAAUUUUCACAUAUGAUGGCUCUUUUGGCAUUUAAAGAUGACGACCCUCUUAGCAUUCGUAGAUGAUGUCCUUCUUGGUAAUGGAAUAUGUAAUGGCCCUCUUGGCAUUUGAUUAUGAUGGCCCUCUCGGUGUUCGUAGAUGAUGACGCUCUCGGAGUUUGAAGAUGAAAUAGCCCUCUUGACAUUCGAAGAUACAAUAUCCCUCUUAGUGGUUGCAUAUGUGAUGGCCCUCUCGGCAUUUGAAGAUGCAAUUCUCUCUUGGCAUUUCCAUAUAUGAUGGCAAUCUUUGCAUUUGAAGAUGUAAUGGCCUUCUUGGCAUUUGCAUAUAGGAUGGUCUUCUUGGCAUUCUAAAAUGAUUGUCUUCUUGGUGUUUGUAGAUGAAGGCCCAUUCAACGUUUGAAUAUGUAAUGUCCAUCUCGAUGGUUUGAAGAUGCAAGAACCCUUUGGCAUUUACAUAUAAAAUGGACCUCUCAAUGAUGAAAAAUGCAAUGUCCCUUUUGGAGGUUUGAAUAUGCAAUACCCUCUCGUCUUUUGAAUAUUAUGAACUUCUUAGAGAUGGUAUUAAAUCAUUUGAUAAUAUGUCAUGAUUUACUCUUUGCGUCAUACAAAUGGUGUCCCGCUAAGUGGUUCACAUUACCGUGCCUAAUAUCGAUGGGAUUUGUGAACAUUUUUCAAACCCUCUAGAUGCUAAAAAAAUGUAAUUUGAUAUCUUUAUAGAUGUUUGUACAUGUUGAGAGUGAUUUUUUCAUUUGUAUUUUGACCAUCUUAUGUUCAACUCGACUUUUGAUCUGUUGGAGAUUUGAAUGAGGUGUUGUUGUCGUGUUGUUGUCGUAUUCUUAAAUGCUUCUUUUUCUUCUUAAGGACUUUAAUAAUUUUUCUGCACCGACAAAGAAGUUGUUAAUUUCAAGGUGUUUCUCUCCCUUUGAUUUCUCCGUAUUUAUUGAACAGAGAAAUAUGAUGACCUUGCAACAUUCUUGUAGAAUCUCAAUUAUGGUUAUGUUGUCGGCAAUUUCUAUAAUCGUGAUUCUAUGAAGAUGUGAUGAGAUGUGUCUGUCUUUAUUUCUCAUUCCUCUUUAUGUAUGAGACUAAUAGGGUCUACUAGAUGAAUCUAACAUUGUUUUUAUUUCCAUCGCGUGUAUUGAACUUAGUCACCCCAUAAUAAGAAUAGCCCAAAGGUUUCGCCGUGUAAACAUAUGUCUCUUCAAAUUAAAGCGAGCUUACUGAAGUAGCUGAAAGGUAUAAGAAAGAGGUCGUUACUGACACAUAUGUGAAAUGUAAUAUAUUUCUAUUCUGUGUGAGACUAACAGGGUCUACUAGAUGAAUCUAACAUUUGUUUUUCUUUCCAUCGCAUGUAUUGAACUUAGUCACCCCCUAAUAAAAAUAGCCCAAAGGUUUCACUUUGUAACCAUAUGUAUGUUCAAAUUAAAGCGAGCUUACUGAAGUAGCUGAAAAGUAUAAGAAAGAGGUCGUUACUGCCACAUGAGAGAUUUGUGUGCACAUAUGUGAAAUGUAAUAUAUUUCUGUUAUUUAUGUUCCGGAAAGGACACUACUUAGUCACUCUAGUGGCAUGAGAAUGUUCAUUUAACACACAUGUGUUCCUGUCAUGACUUAGACAUAUUAAUGGACAUAAUGAAUGGAGUCAAGCAGCGAAUAGGUCCCAAGACAUCUUCAAGAAGCUAGUUAAAUUAAGACUUUCAAAAAAAUUAUGCUUAGAUGUUUCUAAAGAUGAAACUUCCAAGGUUCGUAGGUUGUAAAAACUCAAAGAUCCUUAGAGAUUAUUGGUGAAGAUUAUUGGGUGAAAUACUUAAAUCUUUAUGAGAUCUAGCACAUCCUAAUAAAAGUACUGUGGAUUUGACAAAGUUCAGAUGGUGAACAGGACAAAAUACAUGGCAUAAUCUGGUUUUGAUUGAAAUACUCAUACGAAAACACCAUCGACUUGAGGCGAUUUACUAAGUUAUUUAUGGAUGGUUUCUUUCUUGACAGUUGAAAAAGUGUAACUUUUAAGUAUUUGAGGAAUUUGUUACAAAUAGUGUAUUUAAUUGAUAUGACUUUAGAAUUUUCAAUUGUCUAGAUAUAAUCCCUACUUAUUACCUAACGAAGUAUUUAUGGUUUAAAGGUUUGUUGGAAGAUUGGUUAAUUCCUUGAAGAAGCCUACAUAUGAAGAUGUUAACCUAUUUUGAGAUAAUUAACGUUAUUAAAAAGAUUGCAAACAUGUAAUGUCAAGCAUUCAUUUGAGAAGACCAAAACCAAAAAAUCCUAUUAUGGGAAAUGUAGUAAAGAUUUGGAAAUUGUGAAUGCUCAUGAUAUUGGGAAAUACUUUUAUCGGUUUCUACUCCUGUGGGGCAUUUUUUUCUUUUGUUCGACAUGUAUAGAAUGCUGAUCAAGAUAGAAUUGAGAGAAAGGAUUACAUAGCUAACCAGAUCAUAUUUAUAUGGUUAAAUUGAUAUCUCAUUGUUGGUGAAUGAGUUAUUUUCCUCUUAUAAUACUCUCAAAUGUCAUGAGAAGAUAGUUUAAUCGAGAAUCAAUGAAUCUAUUGUUUUCAAAAGAAGAAAAGAAGAAGAGAAUAGGAGUUACAAGACUAGGAAAUGUUUUAUAUUUUAUGGUUGUGACUUGGUGGCCAGUCAUGAAAUAUUCAUGUUCUUCCUAUCGAUGGUAAAAAAAAUGGUAUGUGGUAAUACAUGGAAUAGACCAGACACCGAGAUGGAAAAGUCUUAUUAGUGAGAGAAUUAAAUGAUGCAUUUUCUAUCUAUUUUUUCCGAUUACCUCCCAUCCAAGAAGUAGAUUUUUGAUAAUGAUUUGGCAGCGGACACCAAGCCGAUUUUGAUACCUUCAUAUCAUAUGAUACCAAUGCAGUAAAGUGAGCUAAGAAAUAGUUGGAGGACCUACUGAAAAGUGUUUUAUAGGACUUAAUUAUACACAAAUACCUUGUGAGAGAAAAAAAACUCAGGUACUUGGAAAUAUCAUUGACUACUAAUAGUUGAAUUAUAUAAGGAUAUGCAAUAAGUAGUGAUUGUAUCAUAUAAAUGACCUAUUUGAUUUGUUUCAUGGAUACAUAUAAUUUUCAAAUAUUGAUCUUUUGGUUGGUUCUUAUAAGUUCAGAAUUGCGAAAAUAUUUUAAGAUAGUUUUCAAAAAAAUUGACAGAGGCAAUAAAAUUUUUUAUGUGAUAUCUUUUGGACUGACAUAUGCUCCUGUUGCUAUAAAGACAUUACUUUAAAGAUAUGUGUCAAUGGCUAGUGAACGUACAUGAGUGUAUGCUCAUGGCUAGAAUGAACACAAAAAUUGUCUCAAUUAUUUGGUUUAGACUGUAAAAGAACUCACCUUUUUGAGCUUGACGGUCUUCAACAUAUGUUUGUCGGGGGAUGUCUUUGGAAAGAUAGUACAACUGACCAAGUUAGCACAAAAAGAAAAUAAUUUCAAGUUCUUGUGGAUGAAAUAAUUUGAGUAGACCUUACGGAAGCUCAAAAUCUAUGGACCACCAUACCAGUGUUAGUGCUACUAUAAAUUCUGGAGUAUUCAUUGUGCUUAGUGAUGCUUUGAAGGUGAAAUUAGGAUAUGUUCGCAUAUAAAGAGCUCAUCUAAUUCAUUAUGUUUUGAAUACACUAAAUGAGAAAGUGAAAAACAAUGACACUCAUAAAUUGAAGAUAUUCUCGAUGAUACUUGUUGAUAUUUAGACAAUGAAACCGACGAGAUUCAUCCAUACUACAAGAGUUUGGUGUGUAUGUUCAGCAAAUAGAUUUAAUUCUUCAACUUACCCACCAAACGAAACUACACGAUGAUUGGAAAAAAAUUGCUAUUCGGUGUCAUCUAGAAAAUGGAAAUGUUAAGGCAGAUGCUUUGAGAAGCAAAUCCAUGAGCUAAUUGACAUAUAGCUCUUGUGAAUAGAAUUUUGACCUAAAAUGUAACACACUCGAGGGUAUGGAUAUCAAAUUAGUAUGAGAAAUUUGGGGACGUUGUUGGUUUAUGUACGGACCAAGUCUUUAUUGGUAGAGCAUAUUGAUAUCACCAAAUACACGAUUAGAAUUGUGUGAAUAUGGAAAUAAGGUUAUAGUGAGUAAAGACAUGGAUAUGAGUAUUGCCAGUUAUGUCAGUGUUGGACUAAAUGGGUGAUUACGAUAAUGGUUAUGAUAAUCCAACAUAGAUGAUAUGAGAGAGGUUAUUCUUCAAGAAGCUAUAACUCCUAAUACAUUGUAGAUCUUGGAUCUACUAAGACACCUGAAGUAAGUGUACUGGUGGAAACUCAUAAAGAAUAAUAUUUCUAACUUCAUUUCUAGUGGCUGACUUGUUAACAUGUUAAAGAUGACUAUAAGCAACUAACAUGUCUACGACUAUUGUUUAAGAUUCCAGAAUGAAAACUAAAAGGAGUUAGUAUUGAUUUUAUGACCACGCUACCAUGAAUCCUUAUAGGUUAUGAUGCUGAAUGGAUAUUGUAAAUAGCUUACAAAGUCAGCACACUUCUUAUUGUUCAAAACUAGAUAAAAUAGAGGAGCAUCUGCAGAAAUUUUCAUGAAAAAAAAUUGUAUGACUCCAUGAGACUCAGUGUCCAUCAUAAUUGUCUGUGUACCACUGUUCACUUCACACUUUUGAGAAUCUUUCUAAAAAACUUUAAUUACAUGAAUAGAUUUUAGUAUUGCAUUUCAUACACAAAUGAACAACCAUUUUAAAUGUACUAUGCAAAUCUUGGAGAUAUUGGGCGCUCACAUUCUUGACUUUGGGGGUCAUUGAAAAUUGGAGAGGCUAAUGCGUUGGGACAGACAUGGUACAAGAAAUUGUGGACAAGUUCGAGUUAAUCAUACAGAAGUUGCACAUAGUUCAAAACGAUUAAAGUCUUUUACAUGUAAAAGGAAAGGUAUUUAGAGUACACAGUUGGAGAUCAAACCUUCCUAAGAGUCCCUCUACGUUAGGUGUGAAGCGACAAAGGUAAAUUGAGCUCAAGAUAUGUAAGGUCAUAUAAGAUUUGUGGACUGGGUGAGAGUGCUUCCCUUGAGAUGUAUUUUACUCGUCCAAAUUCUAUGUCUGCGAAGAAAAUGUAUCUCAAACUCCUCGGGUGUACUUGAAGGACCGAGUACACGAAUUGAUGAGAACCUAACAUAUGAAGAGGAAUCUGUGCCUAUUGUUGACAAACAAGAAAGAAAGUUAAGGUCAAGAAAAAUUAUGUAUGUGAUAUCCCUAUGGAGAAUUCAUACCAUUGAAGCAGCUACUUGGGAGUUGGAAAAUUUUAUGCGAGUCCAGUAUCCUCUCUUAUUUCAGUCUACAGGUAUACAAUCAUCUAAAUUUUGGGUCCAAAUUUCAUAAGGUGGGGAGAAUGUAUUAUUCCAUAUUUUAAACAAGGACAUAUUAGUCAUUAUCCAAAUAAAUAAAUAAAGAGUAAGAAAGGGGAAAAGAGACCAGAGAAUUCUUCUAAAAGAAAAAUGGAGUGGGCCUUACCUAACUGCAUGUAUAGAAAAAGGCUUCAGCAAACAGCUGAACCUUUUAUACUUCCUCUUUACGCAAAGGUGCUGCUUCAUUCCAGCGACACAACGAAGAAGUAAAACUGGUAAAGCCUUGAUUUUGAUUGAUGAGGGAAGCGGAAGUAGAAAGUAAAUUUCAAAACUUUUAAAGAUUGGAUUUGCAUUUUUCAUGGCUACAAAUUUAGGGAUUGAGAAUUUGAGAAACAUGAGUUUAGAAGAGAUAGAUGAACCUGUUAAACUCUUAUGAUUUGAGUGAGUACGUUAAAGAUUUGGACUAAACUGUUGUAGUUUGGCAUAAACCGAAUAAUAAUUGUAGGAUGGCAGUGAAGUUAGUUUUGUUUAUUAUAGGGUGAUGUAAGUAAUAAUUGAUUCUAAAUUUAGUUUGAAUUAUCUGAAAUAAAGGAAGUAAUAUGAUAUUGUUUUGAUCUUAUUAUAAAUUCAUUGAUUUGUUGAGGCGACAAGUUUUGUAUCUCAAAACGAGUAUUGUGAGUAGUAAUCUUACCAUAAGUUAUGUUUUAUAAGUUUCAUGAUUUAUAUAUGGUUAUAAAGUGAACGAUUUACCGUAAUACUUUAAGGUUGCAUAUGGGACAAAUCUUUUACUUGAUAUGACACAAAAAACAUUAUUUGAGAUGAUAUCAUUCUUACAAGAUAUGAUUACUUUUAUUAAAAAGAUUUUACACUUAUUUGUGAAAUAGUAUUUUGACAGAUGACUGUUAAACUUUGAAAUAAUAUGAUUUGAUAAGAUUUAAAUGUUCUAUUUGAUUUUGAAAUGCUUCUACUGAUAACAAGGAAAGUAUAAGUGGUAGUAGAACUUGAUGAAUCCCGUAGAUAAGGGCGGGUUCGAUAGACCUGGUGCACCUUGUAGUUACUGAUUUCUUAUAAAGCCCUUGCUAGUAGGGAGGUAGAACUAGUAUAUUGUUAUUGAUACCCCUCGAGUAGGAUCUACUGAUAUGAACAUUUAACUCCUUUAUUAAGAUUUCAGUGUAAUUCAUUACUUCUAAAGAAAAGUCCACACUGAUUACAUGAUUCAUCCUUGGAAACCUCCAAUCUAUAAAUAUUUGAUAUGGAAAUGUCUUUCUAUGUUUACUACUAAGAUUUGACAUGAAAGUGUUUUUUCUAAUUUUACUACCAAGAUUUAAUAUGAAAGUGUUUUUCUAAGUUUACAACUAAGAUUUGAUAUGAAAGUGUUUUUACGACUUUACUACUAAGUGAUUACAUUUAUUUUGCUUACAUGAGGCAAAUAAAUUGAAUAUUGUUGUCGUUUCGUAAAAAGACAUUGAUUUUAGAAAUUUAACUAUUAUACUAGCAUGUUUUCUGAGUUGUCCCUCAUUAAAACGGUUGUAGUUGAGUGUUAUUAUUCAUUCAUCUAGUGCCUUACUCCUAGCUUUAUUUUACAGAGAAUGCAGGUGACAUGGGUAAUGAUUUCUUUAACUAGAGCUUACGAGUUGAUAAUUCCUAGUUAGACUUGCACUUGUUCGUGUGGAAAAUAAGCUCAUUGGUUAUUAUAAACAUUUCUUGGAAUUCUUAGAGUUGCUCCAUAGUCAUUCCUUUUCUUAGAAGUUAUGAGUAUUCUUUCAUAUUGUAAACUUGUGUCUUGUACGAGACUUAUGUUUUGGAGUUGGAAUUAGUAUAUUUAGCCUUCAAAGGUCUAUUGAUGAAGAUAGUGGAUUAGUGAUGAGAUCGUUUGGCUGCGUUAUUGAUUUCUAAUACACGUAGUUUCAAGAUAGGCCCAAAAACAGAGGAAACUCUUUCCGAUUUUAUGUAUAUUUAUGGUUAAGGCUUGCUUUGGGACUCUUCUCUGUAGCGCCAGUUACAAUUUUAAAUUUGGUCAUGACACCAGACCAGAAACAAAUAUUGAAGUAGAGAAUAUGUGGAAGGUCAAAGCUGAAAAGGCCAUGUUUGUUCUUACUGUAACAAUUGAGGAUGAGUUCUUACAACAACUUAAGAAUGCCUAGACACCUAGAGAAUCUUAAGAAACCUUUUCAACGACUCUUACAAAGAAUAAUUAUGUGAGAUUACAAAGGUCUGAAAAUUAGCUUUUGUCGAUCUCUCAACGGAAUAUGAGAAUCAGCCAAUGCCUCUCAGCGGUAAAAUAUUUAUCUUAUGAAAUAUCAAAAUUAGAUCCUGAGAAUGCUAUUAUGGAGAUAAGAAUGAGAAUAUAUGCCGGACUACAAAGGCAUAACUACAGCCACACGGGGGUGUGCCACAGAACCAACGUAUCUGAGCUGGAAAAUAUGUUGGCAAAUGAAGAAAAUAUGGAGAAUCCAUUAUCAAGUCUCACUGUAAAAGACGAAGAUAAGGUGUUUUUCACCAAAAGAAAAGCCUAUCAAAAACAAAAUUGGAGAAAAUCUCAAGGACAAGGGGAUACCAAAAGAAUCAACAACAAAGAAGUCAACAACAAAAUAAGAAGGCAAAAGGCUUUACCAACCGGCAUAUGGAGAAGUGCUACAAUUGUUGAAACAAAGGACAUUACGCUAGAGACUGCUGGUACAAGAAAGCAGAAGGUAAUGUAGCUACUUCUACUAAAACCAAAAAAUAUGGAGACGGAGUUUGGGAUUUCGAGACUUCUUAUGUAGUUGAAAAAAAUAAUCAACAAGAGGAGUUCUUCACCGACCACUCUAACAAAAAAAAGGAUCUCGCACUUGCAGCUGUAAGUGAGAAAUUGGUCUAUUAUGAACAUUAUUGAAUUGUUGAUUCAGGAAGUUCCAAUCAUAUGACUGGUGAUGAGAAAAAACUCAUUAACGUGAGUGAACAUAAAGGCGGUCGAGUUUUGGUGACUACAAAUAAUUCAAAAAUACCAAUCACUCAUAUUGGCAAGAUGGUUUUUGUGCCUCCUCACAACUAUAUACAAGUGGAACUUUAAAAUGCCUAUCAUGUUCCACGUAUGAUGAAGAAAUUUUUAUCUGUAUCACAACUAAAAAAUUCUGGUAACUAUGUCUUAUUUGGGCCAAAUGAAGUAAAAGUAUAUCAAAACUCAAAAGUUACAAGUACACCGAUCAUGGAAGAGAGAUUAUAAUGAAUCUACGUCAUGUCAACAAAGACAACUUGUGUUGAGAAAAUGUGAAGUAAUGAAACACCUGAUCUUUCGCAUGCACAUCUCAGGCACAUGAGCUACAUCAAACUAAAAAUUAUUAUGGAAUAGUCAAAAUUAAAAGCUCUUUCCCAGCUUGGGAAUGGAGGAGACAUUAUAUAUGUUGGAUUUCAAUAUGGAAAAUCACAUCAACUUCUCUAUGGAUAAUCGAAGUAUCAAAGAAAGGAGCCAUUAGAGUUAGUACACUCAGACACAUUUGGACCAAUGAAGAAGUACUCUAUCGUUGGUUACAUUACAUGGUAACAUUCAUUGAUGAAUUCUCAAGGUACGUAUCAUUAACUUCUCAAAAGAGAAAUUUGAAGUAUUUGAGAAGCUUAAAGAUUUCCAGUUGUGGAGAAUGAUAUUGGAAGAAAAAUGAAAUGUCUCCGUAUGGACAAUGGGGGAAACAACAUGUCACGAGAGUUGAAUGACUAUAUUAAAGAGAAGAUGAUAAGAAGACAAUUAACUUGCCCAAAUACGACACAACAAAAUUAAGUGGUUGAAAGAAAAAAUAGGCAUUUUGCGGAGAUAUGCAAAAGUAUGUUGCAUAGUAUGAAUGUACUGGCAAGGUUUUGGGAAAAAUGCACAAGGAUUGUAGUCCACAUCACCACAAUAUACAAACAUCUCACCAUUUGAGAAACUUAAAAAUAUGAUUCCUACCGUAAGCCACUUUUGAGUUUUUGAUUAUGUGUGCUAUGUGAUCGUGUUAGAUCAUCUCCACAACAAGUUUGAUAAGAAAUUAGCUCAUUGCUCUUUGUUGGAUACGAUGAACAAAGAAAAGUAUUUCUUUGUUUCUAAUAGCUGUAUAUCUUUUAUUAAUUUUAUUUAUUAGGUCUGUAAAAGGAAAAACUUGGUUUGAUGGGAAAAGCAAUAGGAAAUAUUUGGAUGCUAUGAAUCAUGGUCAAGAAACUAGUGUACGUAGGAAGAUCAUUUCAAAGUCCUUUUUCCAGGACACUUGGAAGAUAUUUUGGUAUAUUUAAUAUAACUUUGACUAGGAUCACAAAAUUUAAAAAUCUUCUUAAUUUUCCUUAAACUAGGAAUCUGGCCAUACUAUUAACUUUUAGUACCUACUAGUACUAUUUUUUAAUGUGAUACUUGCUAUUUAGGCUACUUUUUGAAAAAUUCUUUCUUGUGAAUGCUUGAUCGAUAAGAAAUUUGCAAAUUCCUUGACACCUAAGCUCGUGGUUGUGACUUUGUAUAUAACUUAUUGAUUUUUGUAGUUUGUUAUGAUCUUGUCACUCUUAGUAGUGGAAAUUAUCUAUAUUGCUUGAUACUUGUGUCAUGUGUUGUUAGAAUAUGUUUAUUCCAUAUUUUGCAUAUUAGUCUAGAACUUGCCUAUCAUGUUACUGAAGUGAAAUAAAGUGUUGCUUUGUUUAGGAGAUGUCAAUAGGAUUUCUUUGAUAUAUAUUGUAAAUUUUAGUCUUUUCAUUAUAUUAAUAGUUAUCCCUUUUGAGCCUGUUGCCUUUUGUUGGUAUCCAUAUUUUGCCCUUUACUAUUUUAUUAAAUCCCUACGUUUUGUACCUUUCUUCCUUGAGAAUUAUAGCAUAGCAAUAUUCUAAUUGUUAAUUCGAAAUAAAAAGGAAUGGUCGAGUAAAAUGUAAUCAAUGAUAGAUAUAAAGUAAUUUAAAAUCCCUCUUUGAAAAAAUGUGAUGUAAAAAAUGAAAACUGAAAGAAGAAGAAGAAGAAGAAGAAGAAUAGAAAAAAAGAAUUUGAAAAAACUCUUUUGAAAAACAAAUGAUUAAAACAUUCUUGACAUGAUGAUAAUAACUUGUGAAAUAAUUGUUGAAGAGGGGGCUGAAAUCAAAGAGAAGAAAAAAAUUGGUGAUGAAGUCUAGAAUUAUAAAGUGACUAAGGAAGUGUAGGUCACUAUUAUAUAGUUUUCUACCUAUCCACUAACAACCAUUACAACCCCGAAUUCAAAUAUAUUUUAUUGUGUGGGGGCAUUUGAAUUGUUUUUUCCUAAAGAAAGGCCAUGAGAAGGCAGGUGAUUCUUCUCCUCUAUGUUUGUUCUUCUUCAACGUUGAGAUGGUUAAGGGAAUCAAGCAAAUCACUGAUACUAUUGCAACAGAUAUGAGGAAAAUGUUUGGUCUAAUGGAGAGGAUGUUUUAAAAAUUGAAUACUAGGAAGGAAAAAUUUGAUCACAAAAUUUUAGAGUAGAAAAAAAGCAAUGAAUCUUCUACGAAUCAAGAUAAAGGCAAAAAAAUGAUCGAAGUUGUCAUGAUUCCUUCAUCUGACGGCCAUGAAAACUCAUCGAUGCUUCAGGUAAAAUUGGUUUUACUUCUCUAGAAUUGAUUUCCAUAAAUAAAAUUGUUCUGAUGAUUUUAAAUCUUUGUUCUAUUGUUUCUGAUUUAUUUAAGGAGGAGCAAGUGAAACGGCACAGAGAACCCAUAACCGCUACUAAUAGUCGCAAAUGCAACAUAAAGAAGUGUGAUGUUUUACAGAUUGAAGAUGAUGGUAAUGAUGUUCUUAUUGUAGAUCAUGUUCCUACAAAGGAAACAGUGAUAGAAAUUAUCGAAGAUGGGGAUGUUAACGUUCCUAUUGUAGAUGCUAUUCCUAUAAAUAGUUUUCUACCCCUUUUCCUCCUACGUGGAAAUAUCUUCAAGGCCAGCACGUCUUGAUAAUUUUUCAAGCUAUCUAGUUGAUAGUGCAACAUAGGCCAAAAAUGGUCGAAAAUCAUUUAUAGGAAUAAGAUCUACAAUUGGAACGUUAACAACGCCAUCUUCGAUCAUGUCGAUCACUGAUUCCUAUGAAGAAACGGGAUCUACAAUCAGAACUUCAACACCCUCAUCUUCACUCCGUGAAACAUCCCCUUCUUUUUGUUGUGUUUGCGACUAUAAGUAUAGCUUAUGGGUUCUCUGUGUCGUUUCACUUGCUCCUCCUUAAAUAAAUCAGCAACGAUAGAACAAAGAUUUAAAAUCAUCAUAACAAGUUUAUUUUGGGAAAUUAACUCUUGAGAAGUAAAUCCAAUUGUACCUGAAGCAUCGAUGAGUUUUUAUAGGCGUCGGUGGAGGAAUCAUGGCAGCUUCAAUCAUUUUUUAGCCUUUCUCUUGAUCCCUAGAAGAUCCAAUGCUUUUUUUCCACUCUAAAAUUUAAUGAUCAAUUUUUUCCAGCCUAGCACUCAAUUCUGCAAAAAUCCUAUCCAUCAGAGCACACAUUUCCCUCAUCUAUGUUGCAACAGUAUCAGCAAUUUUCCUAAUUCCAUUAACCAUCUCGUUGGCGAAGAAAAAGAAUAAACACAACAGAGAAGGAUUUUUCGAUCAAGUCAAUUAAUAGUACUGACUCUCCCGUCUCAACUGCGUUCUCGUGGCCUUUCUUUAGAAAAAAAUCAAUGAAAAUGCCCCUGCACAAUAAAAUACAUUUUAGUAAAAAAAGGAUAGUACUACUAAGUUGUAAAAGUUAUAGUUUGACUAGAUUCAUGGUUAAAGGAAAAAAAAUUUUUAAAAAAUGUGAUCCUAGUCAAAGUUAUAUUAAAUGAACUAAAAUAUAUUCCAAGUUUCCCGAAAAAAGGACUUAGAAAGGAUCUUCCUACAUACACUAGUGUCAUGAACAUUAUUCAUAGCAUCAAAAUAUUUCCUUAACUGCUUUUUCCAUCAAACCAGUUGCAGAUUUGAGUUACUGCUAAACAGAAAGAACUCUUGGCCUUCGACAGACAAAAUAAAUAAAAUUAAGAAAACAUAUAAUGCUAUUAGCAACUAAGAAAACCAAUGAAGUUAGAUACUAUACUAGACAAAGACUCUUAUUCUUUUAUCAUAUUAACGGUAUUUUAAAGGGUACUAGUAAUGAAGAUGUUACAUCAAAAAAUAAUCCCGACAAGGGCUAUGCGUAGUCUUAUUGGAGCAUUCACCUUGCAUGAUUUUCAUAUCACUUGCACUAAAGAUAUGUCUCAUUCCCUUAAAAUGUAGCUUGAAAAGAAAAUCAACUUCCAACUUAAUUUAGUUUUUUUGAGUUUUGUAGACGCCAAAUUCUACAACCAAAUAAAUGUUCUAAGAAAAUUGUUUCAUAGAAAAUGCAAAAAGAAAAAAGGACUAGAGAAGAUCUCAAGCAGAUCAUGUGUGACAAUGUACCUUGAACAUGCAAUGUAGGAACAACAAUACCAACAAACACAUUGUAUUCUCACAAGCGGGGUAUAGGGAGAGAAGUAUGUAUUUAGACUUUACCCCUAUCUUUAUGAUGGUAGAGGCUGUAUCAAAAAGAACCUUAAACAUGCAAUGUAUUUUUCUAUAUUCGACAAUGGAAGAAGAAUUAAAUUGCACCUCCAAGACAUGUAUAAAGUGGGUAUUUACAAACCAUUAGUUACGAAUUGUAAGUCAGUUGAGCAUUUGCGGCCUUCAUUGUUGCUUAAUUCUUGUUGGUUUUGUGAAAGUGGACAAAAGACUUUCAAUAUAUAUAUCAUUCGAAAAAUGUUUUGAAUAUUUUGGGAUACGAUGGGCACAAUCGGUUUCUAUGAACAUUAUUUUUAUUAUUUCAAAAUAAGGACCCGCGUUGGUCUUACAAUCUUGAUCACAUAUUGCUUGCUUCAGCAACACUCUUUACUUGAGCACACACUAGUUUGCUCUCUUCGUUUGUUUCUUGCUUGGUUAUAUAUAAAAUAAACCACCUCUAUUUAUAUGAGGUGGCGGAAUAAUCUAGAGAGAUACAUACUACUGUAUUCUAGAAUAUUCCUAGCUAUAUUUUUUGUAGAACUAUUCUUUUUGAACAUUUCUAGACUUUUCUCUCUAGCAUACUCAUUCUAGAGAUCAUCCAACAAUUCUCUACAACUCCGAAAUAUUCUAGAUUUUCUUGAUUUAUCUUAAGAAAAUAAUUAAGUUGGAUGAAUUCUUAACACUCCCACUCAACACCAACUUAAUUAUUUCUUUGCACGUUGUGAGCGAUUCCUGAAACUUUGCAAGCAUCAUGACGUCCAUACCCUUUAAGGAUCUCCACCUUCGUUGAAUUAUUCCGAUCCCUUAUCUUUGAAACUUUUCCAAAGGUAGUAGCCUCUUUGAUUUUAACCACCUAUGUUAAUGAUGCAUCUAUGUGCUUUGUCUUUGGACGCUACAGUCAUGUGGACCUCUUACGUUGGGAUUAUGACUCUUCUUCGACUUCUUCUUGCAACUCAUUUGGUGUUUCACAAGCUCCAUUUUCCAUAAGAUUUUCUUUUGCUUUUGUGGAAAUACCUCCUGGUUAGAUUCUAUCUUGUUCCCUUGUUCUACUUUGUUGAGCUUAUCUUACAACUUUUACUAAAGAGCUAUUUAGUCUGGCAAGGAGACUUUUUGGGACCACUAAGAUGACGCUUCAUCAAAUACUACAUUUCUUGACACAUAUGUUCGAUUUUUGGUAGGGUCACAACCCUUCCAACAAUUUUUUGUUCGUCAUAUCCAGCUAAGAUGCAACGAACACCUCUCUUAUCUAACUUGUUGUAAAAACAAUUUAACACAAACACAUAGCACACACAACAAAAAACUCUAAAGUUGAUUACAGUAAGAAUUAUCUUUUUAAGUUUCUCAACUUGUGAGAUGAAUCUCAAUAUUGCCUACGACACUUGUUGGUGCUGUGGAAAACAGUCUUCAUGCAUUCCGCCCAUUCUGUCAAAGAUCUUGUUGGUACAUUUAUACUAAGAGACAUACUUUUGCAAAUCUCUGCCAAAUGCCUAUUUUUUCUUUCAUACACAUUUUAUUGUGUCGUAUUUGUCCAAGUUAAAUGGUGUCUUAUUAUCUUCUCUUUAAGAUAGUUAUUGAACUCUCUUGAUGUGUAUUCUCCCUCAUUGUCCGUAGAGACAUUUGAUUUUUCUUCCAAUAUACUUCUCGGCAAUAUAUUGGAACUCUUUAAACUUCUCAAAUACUUCAUAUUUCUCUUUAAAGAAGUAAAUCCAUAUGUUCCUUGAGAAUUCAUCGAUUAAUGUUACCAUGUUACGGUAACUGCUGAUGGAUUACUCGCUUCAUUAGUCCAAACAUGUCUAAAUGUACUAGCUCUAAUGGAUCCUUCGCUUGAUACUUUGAUUCUCUAUUGGGAAGUUGAUGUGCUUUCCCAAAUUGACAUCCAACACAUAUCAUGUCUCCUUUAAUAUCAAGUUGGGGAAGACCUUUUAGUUUUGAUUAUUGCAUCAUCAUUUUUAGUUUUUUGUAGAAAAUGUGACUGAUUCGUGCAUGUAAUAAAUCAGAUAUUUCAUUACUCCACAUUUUCUCAAAAUAAGUUGUCUCCGUUGAUAAGACAUAAAUGUAUUCUAAUCAUCUCCAUUCCAUGAUUGAUGUACUUGUAACUUUUAAGUUUUGAUAUAUUUUUACAUGUUUUGGCUUAGAUAAGACAUAGUUACCAGAAUUUGUUAGUUGUGAUAAAAAUAAUAAGUUUUGCUUCAUACCUUGAACAUGGUAGACAUUUUGAAGUUCCACUUGCCUGUGAUAAGGCGCAAACAUCAUCUUUCCUAUAUGAUUUAUUGAGAUUUUUUGAAUUAUUUGAAGUCCCCACAUAUCAACCUCCUCUAUAUUCACUCAUGCUAAUGAGCUUUUCCUCAUCAUCAGCCAUGUGAUUGGAACAUCCUGAAUCAAUGAUCAAGUCAUGUUCAUAAUCGACCAAUUUCUCGCUUAUAGUUUCAAGUUCAAGAUCCUUUUUUAGAGAUACAAGUGACAAUCUCCUCUUGUUAAUUAGUUCUACGACUUUAUAAGAGAUCUCGAAAUCCCAAACUUCUUCUUCAGCUUUCUUGUUUUGACUAGAAGUAGCUACAUUACAUUCAACUUUCUUGUAUUAGCAGUGUCUAGCGUAGUGUCCUUUCUUUCCACAUUUGUAGCACUUCUACAUUUGUCAAUUGUUAAAGCUUUUGGCUGCUUGAUUUGUCGUUGACGACUUUGAUGUUGAUUCUUUUUGUCUCACCCUGGCCGUGAGAUUUUAUCAGCUUCUCUUUUCUUAUAGGCAUUUCUUUUGGUAAAGGACGUCUUAUCUUUGUAUUUUAUAAUGAGUCUUGAUAAAGGCUUCUCCAAAUCUUCUACAUUUUCCAACAUAUUUUCUAACUCAAAUAUACUAGUUUUUUGUCCCACCCCCGUGUGGCUGUAAUUAUGCCUUUGUAUUGCGGCCUUAUACCAUAAACAAUGAUUCUUCUCAUUCUUGUCUUCGUGAUAGCAUUCUCAGGAUCUAAUUUUGAUUUUCAUCACACAAUGAUUUUGCCUUUGAAAGGUAUUGGUUGAUUGUCAUAUUCCGUGACAAAAUCUCCUUUUCAAGCCUUUGUAAUAUAGCAUCAUUCUUCUUUGUAAAAAUCGUUACCAAGGUGUCCCAAGCUUUUUGGGUGACUUAGCAUUCUUAAUUCAUUGCACAAACUCAUCCUAAAUUAUUAUAACAUGAACAAACAUGGUAUUUCCAACUUUGACCUUUCACAUUUUUGCUGCUUCAACAUCUAUUGGUGUGUGGUAUCUGAUCCACUGAUUAUGUCCCACAAUUCUUGGCCAAGAAAGUAAUAAUGCAUUCUCGUGCUCCAUGAUUCGUAGUUUCUUGCGUGGAUCUUUUCAACGCUAUUAAGAUUUCUUGCGAAAUCUUCCAUUAAUAAUUAAUUUGUGACUUGUAGCCUCCAACAAUAGUUUGUAAGAUCUUCUUUGAGUUACUACCUCGCUCUUAUCCACCUGGCUCUAAUACCACUUGUUGAAUAUUGUUGUUUGUGAAAUAAUGGGCACAAUUGAUUUCUCAAAACUUGAAUUUUAUUAUAUCAAAGUAAGAACCCCCUUCGGUCUUCUAAUUUUGAUCCCACUUGUUUCUUGCUUCAGCAACCAGGGGCGGACCCACAUGGUACUUUUCGGGUGAACCGAGCAUUUAUUAGUUUUGUAUCGAACUAAUAUAUUUAUAUAAAAAUUAUGAAGAAUUAUAUGCAAUAUAAAGGUGAGCACCCAUGUAACAAAUGGUUUGGUUGAUCUGAUGGUUAUAGGUGGGUGAUCUAGGUUGUUUCUUGGUUGUAUGCUACUGAUCAAUUCCACCUAGGGACACUAUUUUUGCUUUAAAAUACAAAUCUUCUCUUUCUACUUAUUUUAUUUAUUUUCCUCCCUAUGUAGAGUGUUUGUCUUCCUUUUACAAGCUGUCUUUUGCUGAAUUUUCCUAAGCAAUUUUUUUAUAGAAAAAACUAUCAUUAUACUUUUUCCUUUUUUAAUCCAAAAUAAUUUUUAUUGUAGUUUUUAUUGAUUGUUUCAGCUAUCAUGUUUGAAUAUGAUUGUAUUUUUUAAUGACAAAUGUUAACUUUAUACACUUGUAUUUUGUGAUUGAUAGCUAAAUAAGUAACAACAACAUUAAAAUCCACUGUCUACAACACUCUUUACUUGAGCACACACUUCUUUGUUCUCUUGCCUUCUUUCUUACUUGCUUUGUUAAUUGCUUUGUUUCUUGCUUGGUUACAUAUCAAAUGAACCACUUCUAUACACACUAGUGUAUUUUAAGAAUAUUCCUAGCUAUAUUUUUCUAAAACUAUUCUUUCAAGAACAUUUCUAGACUAUUCUCUCUAGAAUACUCAUUCUAGAGAUCUUCCUUCAAUUCUCUACAACUCCGAAAUAUUUUAGAUUUUUUGAUUUAUAUUAAGUAAAUAACUAAGUUUGUGAUGAAUUCGUACCAAAACGGGAACAAAAGUUAGUAACCACUACAUAUCUAAUCGGAUCAUUGCAUAUCUUUUUGAUAAUAAAUUGUGUAUCCUUUUGAUUUUGUCUCACUCCAGUUGCUCCAUGAUAAAAGAAAAGUCUCACCUUUAUUUGAUAUGUAAAACGAUGGGUAAAGAAAACAUAUGUCAAGAUCAUUGAGAAAGUUGAUGGUAUACAUUUUUUGUCCAAGACUCUUUAACUACAUACUACUCCAUAACCCAUAUAUUUACGCGAGUAAGGAGGAUGUUCUUACUAACUACAUGAAGGUUAUUUUCCAACACUCCAGGAUUAAAACCAAAAUCUUCCUUUCCAAAGAAAGGGGGAUCUAUAUUUCCCCAUUUCUCAUCAGCCAUAUCCAUAGAAAUGAUGCUCCAAGUCCCUCAACCUCGAUGCUCCCUAAGACUACAAGAAGUAUUCCAAUGAAGCCUACCAAUUAAAAAUGUACCGGAGUCUUGGAGCGCAUCCUAUCCCCUAAAUCAUUCAUAUUUCUCCAAGUAUCACUCUUUAAACUAUAUUUUGACUUCAAUUGUAGAAUAACUUCCAUAUUGGCAUAUUGCAACAAUACAUACUACCUUAUAAUCAUCACAUAACUCAUCAUAUACAAAACCAUAUAUGAAAUUGGUAUCACUCAUUAAUGUACGUAUAGAAGAGAUAUUUUUUUGUUCUUUUUAAUUAUUGGAUUCAAUAAGAACAAGUCUCUUGUUCCGUCGGCACGAAAAAUCAAUCCAUUGAUUGAACCCACAAUGCAGAAAUAUCUCUCACACCUGGAACAGACUAAGAGACCAGAAUGCUCGAGAAUAAGAUUUGAGAGAGAAUAUCGGAAUACAACUUAGUUUUCAAUAUUGAUUCUGCAUACAUAUCCGUAUACCUUAGUAAUUAGGUUAUUUGUAGUUUGACUCGAUCAGUUUAAAGGAAAUCUAUUAUGCAAGAUAAACAUUGGUUUUGGAAGAGUAAAAAAUAAAAAAGUAUGAAAAAAAGGACCACUACCUCUUAUCCAUUAAUGUGGUGCACUUUACACCCAUAAUUAAGAAUUUACAUAGACAAAAUUUCGAAAGCUCUUAGUGCACUGUCACUCAUACUAAAUAAGUGCUCCUUAUCUCAAGUCCCAUGAGUUUUGUCAUGCCCCGAGCCUAAACUCUAGAUGUAGCUUGUACUCGAGAACCAAUGUUGGCCUCGAGCGAAACCUUGUCCUGUCUUACUUUACUCAGUGGAAGACUUAAGUCAAAUAAACAUUCUCAUUCCAUAACUUAAAAGAAAACAAGUUGGCUAAAAUGGCAGUGAAGUCACAUAAUAAAUAUCUACAAUGCAAAUAAUGAGAGACUCUAUACUAAUCGUUUGACUAUCAAUGAAGCCUUUAUGAUACUAAGAUGGAUGUUGAGACAUACCUCUUAACAUCCUUUAAAAAAAAGACUGAAAAGGGAAUAAAUGUGUCCUUCAAAAUGCAAAGAGGCUCACAAUUGAGUCCAAGUGCUUAGUUGGAUCAAUAAGCGCUAGAUGAUGAUGAUCCUGGUUACAUGUGUUUACAUCACUACGAUUCAAGCCAAAUCGCAUCAGUACAUUGAAUGUACGAGUAUGCAAGUUGGAAUGCUAACAACAACUUAAGCUUGAAAAGGAGUAAGAAGGAACACUUACCUUGGCUUUGCUCAACUCAUGAAUAACUUGACAUAAUAUAAAGCAACAAAACACAUGCAAUGUAUAAAGCUUGUAAAACAAUAACAAACACUUAGUUCGUUAAUGAAAAUGCAAUAACGAACUCACAUUUACUUAUACAUAUAAGUAAUAUAGUUUUCUAUGGGAGAUUCUCUAACCGACAACCACCAUUGUGAGCCUAAGCGGUGAUACAUCUUCUUGCCCAUACUUUCAGAACUGUCUGAUACUUUGCAGUCGCAUAGAACUACUUUACAUAGUGGAUACACUAGCUUAAAUUAUGUGAUCAUCUAAAACUUAUGACCCAUUAAAACCCAUGAUGGCUACAUGGUUUAUGAAAACUUGAGUUAUUAUAAACUCGCAUCCCCAUAUCGGUGCUCAAUACUACUCCUAAAAAUAUACUUAGCUCAUUUGUUUUUGAAAACAACUUUGUUCUUUGGGUUGAGAUAAUUACUCAACACUUAACUUUAUAAAGAUCUCUUAGAAUCAAUGUUCACUUUUCUUGCUCAAAACAUUAUGGAAAUCUUAGUUUCCUCCUUUCUUAGAUGUAAAAACAUUUAUAGACUCUUAGGGAAUACAUAGUUCGCUUACUAGUUUUGAGAAAUGAACUCAAAUCUUUACUCUUUACUUAACGUGAAACUUGAGUCUUCAAUCAAACUCUUAGGGAAUGCUUAGUUCCCUUAUACUUCUUGAGAAAUUAACACAACUAUUUACUCGUUACUUAACUUGAAACUCAGUCUUAAAAAUAAACAUUGCUAUAGACUAUUUAGAACCUUUAAGAACUUUUCUUUGGACUUGUUUCUUAACUUUAGACUUGACACUUAACUUCUUUGACUUUGUUCUUAGGUAUCCUGGAAUGAAAUUAUGAAUUCAAGGUUAUGAUUUGUGUUUUUGGUGAUUCCUAGUUGUCUAGAAAUCAUUAAAAGUAAUUAUAAUCACUGGAGAGUGUUACACCUUAGAAGGACUUCAAUAGGAUAAAGUACAAAAAUUUGGCAAAAAAUGUUAAUUCGAGCGCAUCCGCAGUGUGCUAAGCCACGCCUCGAGUUCAGAGGCAUUAUCUAGAUGCACUGCAAGUGUGCUGCCCCUGGCCCUCUUGCGCAGAUGGGGCGCGGCGCACCUUGUGCUGUCCAGGUGUGUCUACCGACUUUCUCCUCUCGAUUUUCAAUGUUAAACUCUCUAAACCUCCAUAGUUAUUUUCUCAAAUCCUUAGUAUCAUUAGUACCUUCAAUACCCAAUACAUUUAACUCAAAAAAAUCCGGAAUUACGAAUCCAAACAAUAAUAGGCACUCAACAACUCAACCAACAGGAAUUCAACAAUGUUCUUUAAGAACUUCACUAGUAUCAUUCUACCAAUUCGAAAAUCACUGAAUUGAAACAAGCUUGGAGUGUGGGUGAACUGACCCACCACAAAAAGAUCUCACAUACCUUAAUAGGGGUUACCCCUAACAGAUUGCACUCACAAAUCUUGACAUUCAUGACGAAUUCUUGAAUUUUCUCCUUUUUCUUCUUCAUUUCUCUCUUCUCCAAGCCUUAAGCGUAGUUUUGUUUUUCCAAAACUGAAUUAAGACUUUUUUUGACCCUAAUAAAACCCUAAAAAUUAAAUAGGAAAUUUCCUUCCUUAAAUUCGGAUUUGGACUUCCCUCAAUUUAGCAGUCCAAAUUCUGAUAGGCAUAUUUCACUCAUACAAUAUCGAAAAUGCACAAACUCGGCGUUGUUAGAAAGAUCCCUCAAAGUGUUUCCUAAUCAUAUCAAUAACUACCUCUAACAAAUUUUGAGCUAAAAGUUAUGGCCGUUUGGAAAAGGCCAAAUCUCAUUUUCUUAACUUAGGCAAUUUUCUAGAAUUUUUCCUUUUCUUUCCAAAACUAAAUACUUUAGUUCCUUAGCUUAUUCCUAGCUAUCUCAAAUUGUGAGAUGUUAAAAUUUCUCCCCCUUGGUAACAUUCAUCCUCAAAUGAGAUUUCUUUUGCUAAGCUAAGGAUAGUAAUAUCAAGUUCAAUACUCAACAAACAAAAGUAGGUAGCAACAUGCUUACUCAUAGCUUAUCUAGUACUACGGAGAGAAUUAGUACCUUGAUCUGCAUCUUCUCCGGAUUCAAAGAGAUGUGGAUAUCACUUUUUCAUAUCCUCUUCAUCUUCCCAAGUAUCCUCUUCAAUCAAUUGGUUCCUCCAAAGGACUUUGACUGACGUGACCACCUUUUUCCUUAACUUGCGAACUUCCCGAUCUAUAAUUUGAACUGGAAUCUCCUCAUAAGAAUAUAUAUUUUUAAUUCCAACAUUUCCAAUUGGUAUAAUCAAUGAAGGAUCGCCAUGUACCUUUUCAACGUAGAGAUAUGAAACACUAGAUGAGCUGCUGCUAACUCAUAAGCUACAUUUUCAAUCCUUUUUGCUAUGCGUUAAGGUCCAAUAUACGGGGGACUAAGUUUCCCUUUCUUGCCAAACGUCAUAAAACCUUCAUGGGUGAAACCUUAAAGUAUACCCAAUCAUCCACCUCAAACUCCAACGGCCUUCUUUUAACAUCUGUGUAGGAUUCUUUACGACUUUGUGCCAUUUUUAAUCUCUCUUGAAUCACCUUUACCCUCUACAUAGCUUGGUAAACUAGCUCUAGUCCUAUAAACCCUGCUUCACAAACUUUGAACCACCCAAUAGGAGAUCUGAAUCUUUUCCUAUAAAGUGUUUUGUAUGGAUCCAUGUGGAUGCUCGAAUAAUAACUAUUGUUGGAAGAGAACUCAAUGAGAAGUAGGUGAUCAUCCCAGUUCCCCUUACAAUCAAUCACGCAAGCCCUCAACAUAUAUUCUAAGGUCUGGAUAGUACACUUCGCUUUCCCAUUCAUUUGAGGAUGAAAAGUAGUGCUUAAGUUCACCUUUGAACCCAAAAUUUUCUAGAAAGACUUCCAGAAUUAUGCAGUAAAUUGUGCACCUCUAUCUAAAAUGAUCGAAACUGGGACUCCAUGAAGUCUCACCACCUCCUCAAUGUAUAACUUUGCAUAAUACUUCGUUGAAUGAGUGGUAUUUACCAGGAAAAAGUUGAUUGAUUUUGUCAUUCUACCAACAAUCACCCAAAUUGAAUCAUGUUGUCUGCGAGACCUUGGAAACCCUGUGAUGAAGUCCAUAUUAAUCAUCUUCCACUUUCCUUCUGGAAGUUCUAUAUUCUGAGCCAACCCUCCAGUCCUUUGGUGUUCUACUUUCACUUGCUGGCAAUACGGUCACUUGGCAACAAACUCAACAAUGCCCUUCUUCAUACCUUCCAAUCAAUAUAAUUAUCUCAAAUCGCGGUACAUCUUUGUGGAACCCGGAUGAAUGGAAUAUCUAGAGCUAUGAGAUUCCUCCAUGAUCCUCUCUUGGAGUCUAUCAACCCUAGGUACACACAUUCUACCUUGAUACUUUAGCACAUCAUAUCCCCAUUGUUUAAAAACUAAUACUAUAUGCUAAUGAACAUCUGCCUUCAAAUAAAGCAAAAUGGGGUGUUAGUCUUGUUUUUCUUUCACCUCUAACACUAGUGAUGAUUCAGCCCCAUUGUCACCAUUAUCUAUCCUUCUGUGGCAUCCAUAAUUCUGACUACCAGACGUCCAAUUCUGUGCACAUCUUUUGCUAACUCCCUCUUUUCUUCAUCAAUAUUGGCGGUACUUUACCACGGAUGACCUGCAUAAAGCAUCAACAACCACAUUAGCCUUACCUCGGUGGUAAAGAAUACACAUGUCAAUCCUUGAGUAAUUCUAACCACAUCCUCUGUCUGAGAUUGAGCUUUUUUUGAAUAAACACGUAUUGUAAGCUCUUGUGAUAAGUGAAUAUAUCGACAUGAACACCAUACAAAUAGUGGCACCAUAUUUUCAAAGCAAAAACUAUCGCAGCCAAUUCUAGUUCAUGGGUUGGAUAAUUCUUCUCAUGAACUUUCAACUGUCUAGGGGCAUACGAUAUAACCUUUCCAUUCUACAUUAACACACAACCCGACCCAAGAUACAUCAGAGUACACCAAAAAACCUCAAGUACCUUCUGGGAAGGUCAAAAUUGGGGCAGUAGUCAACCUUUUUUUCAAAUUCUGGAAAAUUUUCUCACAAGCUUCAGACCAUUGAUAAUUAACUGUCUUCAAAGUCAACUUGGUCAAAGAAAAUUAUAUAGAUUAAAACCCUUAACAAACCUCUUAUAAUAGCCAUCAAAACCCAUGAAACUACUUACAUCAAUUGGAGACGUGGGUCUAGGUCAACUGUGAACUGCUUCUAUCUUUUGGGUAUCGACUGUAAUCCCAUCACCAAAAAUUAUGUGGCCCAAGAACGACACAAACUUAAUCAAAAACUCAAACUUGGAAAACUUGGUAUCUCACUUUUUAUCUUUCAAAGUCUGAAGGACUAUCUUGAGGUAACAAGUAUGAUCUUCUUUAUUCCUUCAAUAGAUUAGUAUGUCAUCAAUGAAGAUGCUAACAAACGUAUCUAGAUAAGGUUUGAAUACUUUGUUCACAAGGUCUUCGAACGCUAUUGAUGCAUUUGUUAAACCAAAUGACAUGACCAAAAACUCAUAAUGCACAUAUCUUGUUCUAAAAGUGGUCUUCGGAAUAUCACAUUCCCUAACUUUCAACUGAUGGCAGCCAUAUCUGAGGUCUAUUUUUGUAAAACAGGUGGCACCUUGAAGUUGAUUGAAAAAAUCAGCUAUCCUUGGAAGAUAAUACUUAUUCUUAAUGGUAACCUUAUUCAAUUGACAGUAGUCUAUACACAUCCUAAGGGAACCAUUUUUCUUUGUUACAAACAAGACAAGAGCGCCCCAAGGUGAGAUACUUGAUCAAAUGAAACCCUUAUGUAAUUGAUCUUUCAACUAUUCUCUCAAAUCCUUUAACUAAACUGGUGUUAUUCUAUAUGGCGGAAUAGAGAUAGGACGAGUAUCUAAAUAAUGUCUAUGCUUAUGUCUAUUUCUCUCUUAGGAAGGACUCGAGGCAGAUCAUCAGGAAAGACUUCUGGAAACUCUUUUACUAUAUGAACUUACUGAAAGGAAGGUACCUCAGCAAUUGAGUCAUUAACUUGGACUAAGUGAUAGAUACAUCCCUUUCAAACUAAAUUUCUUGCCUUAAGGUAAAAAAUAGAACAACCCUUAGGUACUGAUGAACUACUAAUCCACACUACAAUAGGCUCAUUAGGAAUCUGAAACUUGACAACUCGAGUUCUACAAUCUAUUGAUGCAUAACAGGUAGGAAGACAGUAUAUACCUAGAAUUAUAUCAAAAUCUACCAUGUCUAACUCCACUGGGUCAGCCAUGGUAUUCUUGAUAGAUACAGGACAAUCACGAUAGACACUUUCUUCUAGAAUAGACUCCCCAUCAGUUGUAGAAACAAAGAAGGGCUCACAAAGUUUCUUAUGAAUAAUUUCAAACUUAUUUGCAACAUAAGGAGUUACAAAAUACAAACUUUCUCCACGGUCUAGCAAAGCAUAAACAUAAAAAGUAAAGACUUUGAUAAUACCAAUGACUACAUCUGGAGGGUUCUCUUACUCUUGGCGACUAGUGGUUGCAUAGAGGCGGUUUUCCCCUCUGCCACUACCAUAAGCGGCUCCUCUAGGUGCAUCUCUUGCUGGUAGAGCAACUGAUGAAAAUAAGGCCUUGUUGCCCAAAUUUCCACCACCCUAUUGUUCUUAUAGACCUCCCUCAUGAAGUGACCCUCGUGACCACACCUAAAUCAACUUGUCUGCCAUCAAAAUAUUUACCUGGGUGGGUUCUACCACACUUAGCACAUGCAUGAGCCCAACUACGUCUCUAUGCCACCCUUCUUUGACAUUGUGCUUGUCUAGCUCUGUAGUUCUAUGAGUUCUAGCCAUGAUGCUCAAAUUUGCUUCAAGGUUCAUGUACACUAGCAGCUAAUGGUGAAGGCCCUUUUUGUUUCUAAAAUUGUGGACAAGUUAUACCACCUUUCUGCUUCUCAGACUCAUUCCUAGACUUAGCUUUUUUGCUCCUAUACUCUUAUAUGUCCCUCAGUGUCUCUUCUUUGACCUGCUACACAUAAACCAUCAACCUAGAUAUGUCCAUAUCGUCUAUCAGCAUCGCAGCCCUACCCUCUUUGCUUGAUACACGACCCAAGCCAGCGACAAACAAGCUCAUUUUGAUCCUCAUAUCCUUAACAAUUUAGGAGCAUAGUGGGACAACUAGGUUAACUUCAACCCAUACUCAUGCACACUCAGAGAGUCCUAUUUCAGUGUAAGGAAUAUAGAUACCUUAGCCUCUUUCAAUUCUCGGCAAAAGAAGCGUCCCACAAAAGCUUCUUCAAAACAGGCCCAACUCAGAUGUGGUGCAUCCUAAUAUCUACCCUCCUUCCACUGAUUGAACAUAUUACUAUCCAUAUUUUUUAGUUGAUAUGUAGCUAGCUCAACUCGUUUAUCAUCAAAAACAUGCAUCACACAAAAACCUUCUUCAGCUCCUCAACAAAACUCUCUUAAUCCUCCGUAGUGAUUGAACCCAUGAAAUUGAGAGGAUUCAUUCUCAAGAAUUUACGAAUCCUCAAAGCGUCAGUCUCUUCUUUUAUAGACCCUCUUUUUUGCCCAACUUAAUUAGUCACAACUUGGAUCAAGAUCUGAAUAGCCUCAUAGAAUUAAGAAUUUGUGACUUCUUCUUUAGGUUGCACGUUUGGUGCAUUAGGUAAUUUUGUUUCCUUAACAUUCCUCCUAGCUGGACAACCUCUUGCUUCUCUUUGUGGAAGUAUGGUAAUCUGAGACACGUGCAAGCACGAAUUAGAGAGAAACUUCUAAAGAUAAUAUAUAACGCAUGAUAUGAGUAUGAAAUAAGUGAAGAUUUCCUAAAUUUUGUAGCCUCCUAAUUGUAGAUGUGGCAUGCAUCACACUAAUAACUUCGUUUUACUAUAGAUGACUUCAUCGACUCCCUAGGACUCCUGAAUUUUGUGCUCUGACACCAAGUUUGUCACGCCCCGAUCCUACACCCUAGACAUGGUCGGCACUAAAAAACUAUUGAUGGCCUCCAGUGGACCCUUCACCUAGCAUACUUAACUCAGUUGAAUACUUAACUCAAAUAAAUAGUCCCAUUCCGUUCCUUAGAAGAAAAUAAGUUAUCUAGAAUAGUACUUAAGUCUCAUAAUAAAUAUCUGUGAUACAAAUAAUGAGAAACUCUAUACUAACUAUCUCAAUUUCUAUGAAGCCUCUAUAAUACUAAGAUGGAUGUUGGGAAAGACCCCAAAACAUCAUAUAAAAGAAAGACUCAAAAGCGAAUAAAUAUGUUCAGAAUGCAGAGAGACUCAACACUAAAUCCUAUUGCUCAUCUAGAUCAACGAGGUGGGAUGAUGUUGAUCCCGGUUACUUGUGUUGGCAUCAUGAUAUAAUUCAGGCCAACUGGCAUAGUACAUUGAAUGUACAAGUAUGCGAGUAGGACUACUAAAAACUUAAGCUUGAAAAAGAGUAAGAAGGAACACUUACCUUGGCUCUACUCAACUCAUGAAUAACUUGACUUAACAUAAAGAAAUAAAACACAUGCAAUGUAUAAAACUUUUAAAACAAUAAGAAACACUUAGUUUGUUAAAGAAAAUGCAAUAACAAACUCAACUUUACUUAUAUAUGAAGUAAUUUAGUUUUUUGUGGGAGAUUCUCUAACCGACAAAUACCAAUAUGAGCCUAAGUAGUGAUACAGUGUCUUGCCCUCCCUACCAUAACUGUCCUAUACUUUUCCAUCGCAUAGAACUACUUUACACAAUGGAUCCACUAGCUUAAAUUAUGCGAUCAUCUAAAACGUUGACCCCUUAAUACCCAUGAUGGUUAUAUGGUUUAUGAAGACUUGAGUUAUUAUGAACUCGCAUAUCCAUAUCGGUGCUCAAUACUACUCCCAAAACUAUACUUAGCUCAUGUGUUUUAAAAACAACUUCCUUCUUUGGGUUGAGAUAAUUGCUCAACACUUAUCUUUUAGAAAGCUCUCUUGGAAUCAAUGUUCCCUUUUAUUACUCAAAAAUCUUUUGGAAAUCUAAGUUUCCUAUUAUCUUUAAUGUAAAAACAUUUAUAGGCUUUUAGGGUAUACUUAGUUCCUUAUAAUUUUUGAGAAAUGAACUCAACUCAUUACUCUUUACUUAGCUUGAAACUUGAUUCUUAAAUCAACUAUUAAGGAAUACUUAGUUCCUUAUACUUUUUUAAGAAAUGAGCUCAACUCUUUGCUCAUUACUUAACUUGAAUCUUGAGUCCUAAAACAAAGUUAAACAUUACUAAAGACUCUUUGAACACCAUUAAGAACUUUGCUUUGGACUUGCUUCUUACGUUUAGACUUAAUUCUUAAUUUUUUUUGACUUUGAUCUUAGUUUUCCUUGAAUGAAAUUAUGAAUUAAAGGUUAUGAUUUGCGUUUUUGGUAAUUCCUAGGUGUUUAGAAAUCAUUUGAAGUAAUAAUAAUCACUGGAGAGUGUUAAUACACCUUAAAAAGACUUAAAUAGGCUAAACUGCAAAAAAAAUUAGGCUAAAAACACCGAUUCGGGCGCAUUCGGGGCAUGUCGUACCAAGACUCAAGUUCAGAGGCAUCAUCCUGGCGCACUGCAGGCGCCAACCCGGACCCUCAGGCUCAUAGGGGGAGCUUCGCGCCUAGUUCUGCAAAGGUGUGUCAACCAACUUUCUCCUCUUCUUUUUCAACGCUAAACCCCCUAAAACUCCAUAGUUAUUUUCCCAACCCCUUAGGAUCACUAGUACCUUCAAUACCUAAUAGAUCUAAAUCUAAAAACAAUUCAAAAUUAUGAUUCAUAACAACAGCAUGCAUUCAACAACUCAACCAACAAAAAUCAAUAAUGUUCUUCAAGAACUUCACUAUUCUCAUUCAACCCAUUCGAAUAUCACAGAAUUGGAACAAGCUUGGUGUGUGGGCGAAAUGAAACAAUACUAAAAGAUAUCACAUACCUUUAUAGGGAUCACUCCUGAUGAAUUUCACUGGCAAAUCUUGACGUUCUUGAUGAGUUUUUGACUUUUCACCUUUUCCUUCUUCUUUUCUCACUUCUCUAAGCCCUAAACUUAGUUUUGAUUUUCUAAAAUUGAACUAAGACAUGUUUUUACCCCCAAUAAACUCGUAAAAAUGAAGUAGGAAAUUAUUUUGUGAAAAGACCAAAUUGACCUUCCUUAAAUUUGGAUUUGGACUUGGACUUUCCUCACUUCAAUAACCCAAAUUUCGAUAGGCAUAUCUCAUUCAUACUGCAUAAAAUAUGUGCAAACUAGGCAGCAUUGGAAAUAUAUCUCCAUGGGCUUUCCAACCAUAUCAAUAACUACCUAUAACUCAUCUUGAGCUAGAAGUUAAAGCCGAUUGAAAAUGGUCAAAACUCAGACUCUUAACUUAGGCAAUUUUCAAGAAUUUUUCCUUUCUUUCUAAAACUAAAUAUUUUUAGUUCUGCAGUUUAUUUCUAGCUAUUUUAAAUUGUGAUAUGUUAUAAAUUUGAUAUUCCUCUUUAGACUAUGUCCUAGUUUGCUACUGAAAAAAAUUUCAUGUUGUGUUGCAUCCUUUUUUAUGUCAUUCAAACAUGUUCUUUGAUAGAAUUCAUCCUCUUAGAUGCUGUCAGCAAAAACAGAAACAAACUUGUUUGUAGAAACUCUAAUUCAUAUAGAGAAUUGCUAUGUUAAACCAUAUUUGGCACAUUUUUUAAUCCUUAUUUUUGAAAUUUUCUGACGUCAGCCUGAAUCUUUUUGUCGAAGAAGAUGAUGAAUUGAUAUGAAGUGACACAAUGAUGACUUUCUCAAUAAUGUAAUAUUGUGGAUGAUGAAACUUCAUUUGUAGGAUUAUGAUGCUUGAUUGUUAAUAUGAUGUUGCUACAUUGAUAAUUCAUUACCAGGAUAAUGUUGAUCCAAUGGUAGGUUAGUGUUGUCGAAGCUUGAUUUGUAAGAUGAUGUUGCUACAUUGAUAAUCUAUUGGCAGGAUGAUGUUGCUCCAAUGGUCGGUUGAUCUUGUUGAAGCUUGAUUGGUAAGAUAAAAUGGUGUAUUGGUAAGAUGAUGUUGAUCCUUGAACAAUGAUAUUAUCACCUUUGAUAAUAUAAUACAGAUGAACAUCUUAGUUGUUUGAUUAUGUAACAACCCUCUUUGCAUUGGAAGAUGCAAUGUCCUUUUAGAAUUUUGAAUGCAUGAGGUCCUCUUGGUGGUUUGAAUAUGCAAUUGGCUUUUGGUGUUUUAUGUAAUGGGGCCCUCUUGUCAUUAGAAGAUGAUGACCCUCUCAAAGUUUGUAGAUGAUAGACCUCUUGUUUUGAAGAUGCAACGACCCUCUCAGCAUUUGAAAAUGAUGGCCCUCUCAGCAUUUGAAAAUGAUGGCCCUCUCGGCAUUUGAAGAUGUAAUAGACCUAUUGGCAUUUAAAUAUGCAAUGGUGUCUAUCUCGAAAUUUGGGUAUAUGAUGGCCCUCUUGGCAUUUAAAGAUGAUGGAUCUCUCAUCGUUCGUUAUUUAACGGUCUUCUCGGUAAUGGAAUAUGUAAUGGACCUUUGGAAUUUUGAAUACAUGAUUUCCCUCUUAGCAUUUAAAGAUGAUGGCCCUCUACAUGUUCGUAUAUGAUAGCCCUCUUAGUUUUUGAAGAAGGAAUGGUCCUCUCAAAAUUUAAAGAUACAAUGGCCCUCUUGGUGUUGCACAUAUGAUAUCUCUCUUGGUGUUUAAAGGUGCAAUUCUCUUUUGGCAUUUGCAUAUAUUGUGGUUGUCUUGGCAUUUGAAGAUGCAAUGGCGUUCUUGGCAUUUACAUAUAGGAUGCCCCUCUCAGCAUUUGAAAAUGAUGGUCAUCUCAGUGUUUGUAAAUGAUGGACCUCUCGGCGUUUGCUUAUAUAAUGGGCCUUUGGCGGUUUGAAUAUGCAAUGGCCCUCUCGUGCUUUUGAAUAUGAUGACCUUCUUAGAGAUGGUAUUAACUCCUUUGAUAAUACAACUUUAAUGACUCUCUGUGUGAUAAAUAUGAUGUCCCUCUAAGUAGUUCACAUUACCGUGUUUGAUAUCAACGGGAUUUCUGAAUAUUCUCCAAACGUUCCAGAUGCUGAAAAAUGUAAAUUAAUAUCUUUGUAGAUGCUUGUACAUGUUGAGACUGGUGCUUUCACUUGUUCCUAUUUUAAACAUCUUAUAUUCAAUUCUACUCUUGCAUUGUUGGAGAUUUUAAUAAGGUGUUGUUGCUCGUACUCUGAAUUGCUUCUUUUUCUGCUAAAUGACUUUAGUGACUUUUCAGAACACACUAAAGAGUUGUUAAUUUCAGGACGCUUCUCUCCCUUUGAUAUCUCCAUAUUUAUUGAACGAAGAGAUAUUAUGACCUUGCGACAUUCUUAUAGACCUGCAUCCACAGAAAAAUUGUUAGUUUUUAAAACAAUUUGUGUUGACUUCUUCGAUCGUUUGCACCUUGUCUUGCUAUCUUCAGUUGAUCACUCUGAUCUCUUGUUUCUUGAUAGACAUAAUAUGAAAUUAUACAAAACAUUUGAGAUAUUUAAAAUCUUUAAGGAAAAAUAUUUUUUUGAGAAUAAAUUUAGAAAAGGUCACUGUCAUAUAUCAUGUCAUGUGUCACUUAAGUGAACGUCUUUGGCUCAAAACUUUUGAUGUGUCUAAUAGCUUGUUCUAGAGAAUUCCAAAGAUCCUUGAAGCUUGAGAAAUUUCUGACAUAGUCCUCCUGAAAUCUACUAUAAUCGGGCAUCUUGUAGUUGACUCUGAAAUCCAAUGGUGCCAGAUAUUGUUGAAGUUGACUAUGAAAUUUAACGAUUUCAGAGAUCAUUUGAAGUUAGCUUUAAACUUCUAAUCAUGCGCGAAAUAUUAAAAAUUAACUUCAAACUUCUAGUAAUGCUUGAAAAAAUUUGUGAGGCCAUCCUCAAAAAAAAUUGUCCCAGCUAGAUGUGUGGGAAUAUCUUAAGUUGUCAAUAGAUGGCUCAUGGAGUGUUUGAGAUCUUCCCAAAAAUUCAAUCUUGUUGAAAUUCUCAAUGUGACUUUAGUCUUUACUUAUUGGAGAUCUUCUUUUUGAGAAUUUAUCCCUCUCAAAAAUUUUGCCCCGAUUAGAUUACUCGGCGUAUCUCGAACCGUUGAUAAAUGACUUGUUGAAUAUUUAAGACCCCCUCAAAAAUUUUGUCUGACUUACAACACAGAAUGUAUCUUCAUUCUUGACUAGUUGGAGAGAUUCUCUUCUUUACAAGUUUUGAUCCUCCUAAAAAAUAUCAUGUUUUCUAUUAUAAAUGAAAAUAAAAAUCUUAUGUAAGAUAUGAUCGAAUCCUUGUGAUUCCUACGUAUUCCGUUGAGGCAUUAAUCAGGUAAAACUUAGUUUCCAUCUCGAGGGUUAUCAUGUUUAAGAAAUUUUGUUAAGGAAAUUACUGAGGCCUACAUAGUCCACCUAUGUACUUCACUCUUGAAAAUUCAGGUCGAAUGUAGUUCAAAUACAAAGGAUAAAUUCUAACUAUAAAACAUAAGAUGAUAACAAACAAAUUAUGCGAUUACCCGAAAGAAAAUAAAAGAAGUUUUAAAUCUUCAGACAUAAUAGCUCUUGAUAGCACCUGAGUCGAUUGGCCACUUGAGAUGAAUGUUUAUAUCAACCAUGGAAUUUCAUCCAACACAAGUAUCGAUGUAUUACCUAAGUAAGUUGUUGAGUUCUCUUUUUCGAGCUUAUGUCAUAUACAUUCUAGUCUCUUUGACACAAUCAUCCUUUAAUAUGUCAUCCAGAUUUGACUUAUCCUUAUUCUCGAGCUAUUUCAAUUCUUUGGGAAUGUGUUCAGAUUUCAUGAUGUCCUCAUCAUACUCUUUAUGCACAUCGUUAUCUACAUUAUUUUUUCAUUCAACUUGUGACAUGAGAUGAUAUUGAUAUAUUUAAAAUUAUUUUACUAAAACAAACACAACGAUUGUUAGAUAGAAAAUUUAAAACAAGUGGAAUAAAUUUUCGUAAUAGAAGAGCCUUUCAUUGAAAAUAAGAAAAUUAAAACUUUGGACCUAAACAUGGGCCAAUUUGCUUUUUCCAAAAUAUUAUCAGGGAAAUUAAAACAUACUUAAGUAUAAUGACAUAAAAGGUAGGUCCCACGCCUGACUCAAACUACUACUAAUUUUAGGAAUGAAAUGAAAUUCAUAUGUUUCUACCAAGAUGAGAGAGGAAUAAAGAGAAGUGUGGAAGACCAAUUGAGAACUUGUUCCAUUGGCUCGGUGUCUCGUAUGCUUAAUGUCUCGAUCAAUUCCCCCAGCACAAUGUCACCUUUUUCAAGAAGAAGUUGGUUCCUUCUCUAAGAUUGGUAUUUUCUUCUACCAUAAAAGAAUGAUACAAAUGAGGCAAAGGUUUUGGUGAUACAUGAUUAACCUCCUUCAUGUUCAGACAAUCUUUUGGCACUAAAUCAAACGCAUUAUGCAGUGCCAUGAUCAGAAAUUUCGAUUUCUCAACUAUGAUUAAGGAAGCUAGAACUUUCUCAAGGCUAUCAAGGAUUAUUGAGAUUAUAGUUUUAUCCAUACACCAAUUUUCUUCGACUUCGACCAUGUUAACAGUAGACCCUCCAUGAUUCAGGAGUGAAUCACUAUUGAUGUCGGAUAUGACAGCUUGAAGAGUGACAAUUAUUAGAUAAAUCAAGUCCCAAAUUUUAUAAUUCAAUAGUUUCACCAAUAGUGUUUAGCCUUUCGCUGAUUUUUCUGGUCUUCAGAGCGUCCUCAAUAGUUUUACUAAUUUUGACUAUCUCAAUGAAUUUCCCUCCCAAACUGAGCAACAUUAUAUUGUAGUACUCCGUCUCUUGAAUGUGCAAGAAAACUUCAGUAAUUUUCUUACAGGUCAUGGGAGGCAUAACCCUUGCAGCCUCUCUUCUCCAAUACUAGGCAUAUUAUUGAUAACUUUCACAAGACCUCUAUUGAUUCUCUCCAAAGAGCAUCGAUCAAGAAUGAGUUAUACAUUGUAACCAAACCUUUCGAUGAUGUAUUUAGCCAAAAUAUUCCAACUUGGUUUAUUUCUUUGGAAAUAUAUCAUUUCUAAGCUUCUCCUUUUAGAUUUCGACUAAAGAGUCGCAUCAACAAAGCCUCAUAUUUCUCAACUCCAAUAAUUUGAUCACAAUAAGACCUCAAAUUAGUCAAAGGAUCUUUCAUCUUCACUAAAAGUAUCAAAUUUUGGUACAUUAAAACCUUUCGGAAUAUCCAAAUGUGGAUGAAUGGACAAAUCUUCAUAAUUCAAUCCUACAAUGGUUGUGAUGUAUUAAAAGUCCUUUAUUUCAUUGAUAACUUCAUCUCUAAUACUUUGCUCAACCUUCCCUUUUAUGACCCUCCAUUCCUUCUCCUUCUUAUUCUUCUCACAAUGAUGGAGUAAAAUGUGUAGUAGAGGCAGGUUAUAAUUUUGGCAAUAUUGGAAGAUGAAAUGUGGUUUUUAGAGGUAUGGGUUGAGUGGUAGGUGAGUUUUGGGCAGUUGGAGUAGGAAUUUGAUGACUGAAGGAAAACCUUGUAGAUUGUUGGUGUUUAAAUUUUGAGGAGUAGAUACUUUUGGCAUGUGGAUCUAGCUUAAUAUGGGUUAUGGGUGGUUAAGUCGAUGAUGAGAGGUUUUGGAUUUUUAGUGGUGGUUGAAUUGUUUGGAAAACGCUAGGAGGUUUGAUUGAACUAGGAAAAUGAAGUGGAGGUCUUCCAUUUUCUGGAGUAGGAGUGUUGGCAACACCAAAUUUGUCAAAUCUAGGGUUUUAUCCAUUUUAAUGCUUCUUUCAGCAAUCUAUUGGAACAAUUGUGCAAUAAACUUGUUUGGUUCAGCAGUGAUAGGUUCAUUUAUAUUGGUUUUGGUAAAUUUAGUAAUCUCAAUAUUUUCAACCAUUUUUUAGUUGCUUUUUGACAAACUCCAAUCAGAGAAAGAACCUUUGGGAUCUUUGGCUCUCGUGAAGUAUGGAUGUUCUGUCAUUUUCUCAACACAGAUUGGUUUUGAGUACCUGACAAAGAAAAAUAACUUAAAAAGACAAAUGUUUUAGUUUGUGUAUAUGAUAAAUAAUGCAAAAUAUUACACAUAUAAGUGCAAGCAAAUAAAAAUUGUUUUAGUUGAAGAUAAACCAAUCCACAGAAAAAGGGAAAAGAAAUAGGAAAAUGACUAAAUAGAUGGUAGUUUGUCUAUUUGAUUUUAGGAUUAGUGAAUCAAAAAAGUUGAGUUGUGUGAGUCAAUUGCCUUUUGUGUCUUUAAUUGACAUAGUUUUUACUUUGAGUGAGGGGAAAUUCCAAUUUGCUUGGGAGAGCGGGAAAAAAAUAAAAAAAUUCAAAGAUGGGGACCGAGCCUUGAAAGGUUGUCUACGUAUCUCAUGGAGGAGAAUUCAGGUACUAUGUAUUUCGAUCUGUAUGAAUCUCUUUUUGAGUUGAUAUGGAGGGUUAACCAUCUUUUGACAUGAGAAAGUACAGAUUUGAAAGAUGAAGAACAAAUUUUCUACGGAAACUAAAGACUCAAAGGGUAUUUGGACACACUUUAGAUAGUGACUUUAUAUUAGUGCUAAGGAAUUAUAAAAAUCAUUCGAAGAGGUGUGAGCUAGAAUAUUUCUCAAUAAAGCAACAUAUUUACAUAAACGGUUAUAACACAUAAACAGUUAUUGUGCAUUCUAAACAGAUAUGUAACCCUUUUAUGUCAAGGGUAGGCCUAACUAUUCGAAGGAUGAAUAACGUCAUUUGAAACAUGUCAUUGUCCCAAAACCCAAAUUUAUACAAAUUUUAUUAAUAACUGCAUGGGGAUAAAUAAUCUGGAAAAGGUAAAUGAAUAAUAAGUCCCACGAGGGGUACAACCCUAAACUAUGCCUCCAUGAAAUGUUCUUCUUCUUGAACUUCUUGUAAUCUUCGGAUAUCCAUGUAUUUGGAUGCAAUGAUAAAUCAUGAAGGGAUUCAUUCUUAACUAAAGUAAACUAAUUUAAAUAAACUUUCAACCCUGAUGGACAAUGGUUUUCCCAAUGAUCUAUACAUCCUUCAAAUUUAAUCGCAUACGUGUGAUCGUCUGUUUAGGACGUCGGUCGUUUUAGACUCAAGGUGGUCUCUCUAAUGGGUCCAACACGCCUUGGGUGUUGGUUCAUCUUAGUUCGAUGCGCUAAAAGAGAUUUUGUUUCACUCGAUGCUACUCGACUAAGAGUUGGUUUUGAGACAAUACCUGGUUACUUGAGGUGGACAAACUACAGGGUGAAGUAUAAUAAACGACGUUGGAUGACCACAAGUCAACUAUUUAUUUAUCACUUCAAAAGAAUUCAAAGGUGAUUUUAUGAAGGACAGCCGUGGAAAGACAUGUAACUGUCUCUUUUCUAAUGCAAACUAUUUCUCGUUUGGCGGAGUUGAUGCAAUGAUGUCACGAUGUGUAAUUUACAAGAAUUUAAACAAGUAUGUGAUUAAACAAAUAGUCAAAUAAGUCAAUUUAAAGGUGAGAACAUAUUUCAUUCCCCAAUAGAGUUGUCAUUUCUGUUAUACCUUGAUUUUAGUGUCUUUAGAAAAAUCAUUUUUGGAAAUGUUCUAAUUAUAAAAGAAUUUAAGAACAAUGCUUAGAAAACAAUCGUCACUUAAUUUUUUAAAGAAAUUAAGAAAACUUAUAGUUUAAAAAGCUCUAAAAUAUUAAGUCUUUAAGAAAUUAGAGAAAAUAGGUAAAAGAUUCUAAUUACGCGCCAAGAUGAUUUUUAAGGCAUUUGAAGCGCCCGCUAGCACGCGAUUUUCUUGGUUAAAUAUUUUACUUUUUUUAAAAAAAAUGAUUUAACAUGAAAAAUAAAACUUUACAAUGUUAAGUUGAAAGAAUAGUUAAACAAAGAAAUAUUUUAUAUUAUUUUUUAAAACAAGGGGACCUUAAUAAGAAUAUUUGAAAUUAACUAUAAGCGAAUAGAAUUUUAACAAAACUAGAUUAAUUAAAAUUUAUUCUUGAACCAUUUUUAAAAUAAUCAUUUGAACCAAUUUGGUCAAUUAAAGCAUGAAAAAUAUUUUAAGCUAAUCGAAGAAUAAGUAAAAAGUUUUGAUUAGAGAUAUUCAAUAAAAGUAUUAAGAGUUGAUAAAAAUGCAUUAUAUAAACUAGAGAAAAUACAUAACCACCCUUCCCCCCUCUCCUAAACUUGGCAACAAAACUUACUUUAAUACUUAAAUUACACGUGAGUUUAAAUACGCCCCCCCCCCCUCCUCGCGCCCAUCAUCUUUGAAGUGUUUUUUUCCACCCCGAGACUAUAACACCACUAUCACCCGCCACAUCAUAGCCACGUAAGCGCCAUACCAUAUCCAUGUAGGUACCACAUCAUUAAUUUUUAGUACUUUCUUACUUAUUCACUAUUUUUUAUUAAACACAUUUUAAGAUUGAUUAUAUCAAUUAAUUAAUUUACAAAUGCAUACUCCUCUCUUUCUUCUUCCUUCUUCACAUCAACUAUUCAACAAUUUUUUAAAAUAACUAGAAUGAAAAAAUUCACUAUAAUAUUCACAUUAUCUUCUUCGAACCCACUACACGAAUUUACCUCUUAGAGAAUAAUUUCUUUUUGAAAGCCAAGUUUUUCUUGACAACUCAAAUAAGAUAUGAAGAUUGCAUAAGAAAGUUGAUAAAAAAUAUAUAAAUUCUAUGAGAAAUAUUUGAAUAGAUCUAGAAAUCAAAAUGGGUUACUCAAAAUUCAAAAAAGUUUACAUUUAUGAAAUUGACACCAAUAAUUAGAGGAAAUCAACGUCAAUAAAAUGACUUUGUUAUUGAAUUUUACGGAUAUGUAAAGGACUAGUAAAAUAAAAAUAAUUUUUUUGAAGUAGGAGGAAGAUGGGGGAGGGGGAGUUUCAAUGGAUAAAAAGGUGUAUUGAGGAAGACAACAAAAUAAAAAGAAAAAAAAUUAUAGAAAUUAAAAGGGAGAUCCACUAAUUCUAUAUACCUCUAAAUAAAAAAAAGUUACAUAUUUUUAGAGUGUUAAUAUAUCAAGAAAAACUAUUUAAAAUAUUAAUUUUAUAUUGACCAAUAAAAAAGGUCAUGUGUAAGACUUUAGAAGGAUUCAAUUUUUUUUUUCUUUUUUCACGUGUUUUAAGGAGAGUAUAAUCACUCUCUCGGCCAAGUCAUCCCUUAUGGAGUGUUUAAAUCACUUGAAAAAUGUUAGGGGGAUUUUUAUGUAUUUUCCCUAUAAACUAAAAUAAUGAUAUCGUUCAUUUUGGAGAAUUUAAUUAAGUUAAUAAAUAAUUUUAAAGUUAGAGCUAAUAACAAAACCAAUAAAUAAUCACAAUCAAAUCAUUUAAGAGUAAGGGAGAGAUUGAAUGCGGGGCCCUUUUUUGGGCAAGACUUAGUGUUGCUUUUGGACUUAGGCUAAAUUUUCAUUUUUGUGUACAUUUGAUGUAUAUCAGUGUAUAGAUCUCGUAUAUCUACUCCAUUUCUUGCUUUCCUGACCUGCAACAGCUUAUAGGGACCUAUUUUGGCCUCCCUUACAACAUAUAUCAACUUUCAUCUUAGAACAUACCAGGGGGCUGAGUAGAGAGGGAUUCAACACAGAAAUACAAGGAUUAGAUUCAAAUAGAUCGGCCAAUGUACAUGUAAACAAAGUAAAGGAGAAGAAUUAAACUGAAUAUUCUUGGCUGCAUAUAACAUUUAAGUAGCUAAUUUCUAACAAAGCAUAAAUAUAAAUAUAAAUUGUAAUAUGCACCCCAAUCCAAACAUAAAAGCUGACAAAGCAUGAUUAUAAUAUUGGAAGCAUGAAAUAGCAUAGUAGAGGAGAGUGAUAUGAGAGAGGUGACAAGAUCUUAUGACAAGGUUAGACAAAAAAAUUAAAAGCAAUUAACAGAACAUGCAAGUAAGCAAAUAAGAAUUAAUUUUGUUAAGUGUACUAACAUGCGUACGAACUUUUUUUAUUUUAAAAGCAACUAACUAGAGCUAAAGACAUCUUUUUAUGAAAUGGACAAUAAUUAUGCUUCGAUUUAACUACAGAUAAAAGACAUAUUACUAAACACAUCGAGAACCAAGAAUUUAAUCUAUCUAUAUGUUCGACAAGUUAAGCUAAAACAAAUAUAAAUACCAAAAUUCAUACGAGCAGCAAGUGAUAAAGAUAGCUUACAAUGCUAUAAAGAUGUAACAGAAACUAACUUAUAUUAUCAAAUCAUAUGUAUACAUUGAUCUUUGAUCAUUUUUAACAUCAAGUCAGGCUGUAUGAGAAUAAAAUCUAAAGUAUGAACCAAAAAACUUUUAACACCGUAUUCUAUCAAAACAAAUCUGAAGUUGAUUACGAGAGGGGGUCUCAGUCAUACUAUAAUGUCAUGGGUAUGAGGAAAUAUUAACUUAAAUAAAAAAUAGGUUGUUAGUUGCGACAACAUGCCAUUUAAGAAUGUAAAUAGGUCACAAUAUGACAGUUUCAGUUGAAUGCAUAUUUAUGAGACAAAUCUGAUGUAUGCUCCCACUAUCAGUCAACGGAGCAGGUCCCUUGUCAUAAACAGUAAUAAAGAGUAAACGAUGAACAGAAGACAACACAAGCAUACGUGGAAAUGUCCUUUUACAAGGAAGUAAAACUACGACCUAUCACACAGGAUUUUCAACAGUUUCCACUAAUCUCUUCAAGCAACAGGUAAAACCAGUUAUAAUCAAAGUGUGAAGAAGUUAUUAAUCUCACAGCUAAGUAAUAACUCUAUUACUUACUAAGCCUAAGCAUAUACCACACUGCCCUACUAAACCAUCUAACAGUAGAUGGUUUAGAAUUUGACUAAGCAACACACAGGUUGCUCACUAAACCACCACCCUAUGGACAAUUCAGAUGUUGACUAAGCAAUAACAAUGUUGCUCACUAAAUCACCUAACUAUAGAUGACUUAGACUUUUAAAAACCGAAACAAAAUAUUUGAAUCCUUUAUAGAUUAGGAACAGAUUUACAAUGUAAGCACGAAAGAUAUACUCUUAACACAACUAAAAAACUUUCAGCUCUAUCAGGUCUCUGUUGCUUUUGAGGAUAAUCAUUCUUGAAGAUUGCUUUUGCUUCUUCAGCUUUUAGAUUUUCUAAAAUCCAAAAUUUGUUUACCAAAACUUGAGUUUGUGUUGAAGGAGAAAAGACUAUAUCAAAAUGAACACAAAUCUUUGGGAGAAGGCCAUUGGCUGAAAGCCUGUUGUUUACAAAAGUUAUGCACCAACCAUAUCAUACCUUUUCAUAUAGGCACUUUUUGGUACCACGUCCCUUGUUGCGUUCUUUGAUACAUGAGUUCUUUGAUAAAGACGUGCUCACUUUAUUCAUCUUUUUGAAUGAAUGAACUUAAUAUUUUUUUCAUGUUCAAAAUAUCAACCAUAAAGAGUUAUUAACUGAUGAACAAAAAACAACUUCCAUUUUGAUUGGUUCAGUACGUUGGUGCCUCACCUACCAUUAACAGGAUAUCAUUACAGCCCAUUAUGCAUCAGAUGGAGAGAAAUCUCUCUCUGCCAAGGACCUAGUCCCUACAUUAGUGAGGAUCAUCAAAACACCUAGAAUAUAACAUUUUCCCCAUUUUUGAUGAAGACACACAAAUAUUCCUCAUGUUGAGUUUAUUCAUUCACUUCCCAUUUCAUUUGUCACAAUACCAGAGGACCCUUUCGUGGAUUUGCUGGUGCCUAGUUAGAUUUUGGAUUUGUCAGGAUCAUCAAAAUACCUAGAAUAUAGCAUUUUCCCCCUUUUUGAUGAUGACGUACAAAUGUUCCUCACAUUGAAUUUAUUCAUUAAUUUGCCUCAUCAUUAAUCCCUAUAAUAAGGAUCUUGUACCUUGUUAAAUCCAUAAGUUUGUUAAAUAUUCAAAACUUAAAAUUAGCUCCAAAAAUUAUAUUUUUUGCUUUUUUGAUUAUAACAGAUUUAUUGACCAGUUCCUCUUUCACCAGUUCCCCUAUCAACAAGGGAUUGAUCCUAACUGUGUCAAAUCAUCAAAACUUCUCAUCAUCAACAAAAUAGAGUUUUCACCCUUUUUGAUGAUGACAAACUGGUUCAACACUUCUUCCCCUUAUCAGCCUAAUAACUAUGUCUUUUUCAAGUAACACCGAUUCCCCCUAUUGGUAUGACCAUGUCCUCAUCAAGUAGCUUCAUGAUUCCCCCUAUUGCAUGACCAUGUCCUCUUCAAGUAGUUAAAUCAUUGAUCUCAUACCAUAAAAAUUUUCUCCCUUUUGAUAUCAUAAAAAGUGUUAAAGCAGUAAACUAGGUUACCAGAAAUACAGUUCAACAAAAUUCAUGGUCACUUGGGCAACACUGAGCAUGAGUAAAAAUGCAUAAAGUAAUGAGACAAGUCAGUAGAAAUAAGGAAUUUUUCAUUCAAAAAUAAAAGAUUAGCAAUCAAAGCAUUGAAAAUAAUGUUGUGAAUAAGAAUCAAGGAAAUACCCACUGAGUUUUGAUUUUAAAAAAAAAAGAGGAAUGAAGACUGACAUGUUAACUUAUGGAGAAAUGGGAUGACUUAGAAGCAAGGAAUGGAAAGAAUAGAAUUAGUAGAACAUAUGGCUUAGCAUGGUUUCUUGGAAGCUUCUCUUUAAGUUCAGCAUGCUUUGCUGCCAUAAUUAUUUUUAUUCUUUUUUUAAACUCUGUUACUCUGAUUUUUCCCCCAGAAUCUAAGCCUUCAAACAAAGAAUGUUAGUAUCCAUGUUAGCAGGAGAAACUUCCAUAGCUUUCAUAUCAAGCCUAAGUUUCUCGUAACAGAAGAUUAGUAAGUUAAACUUACUCCAGGCCUCUAUAUGAAUAGAUCAAUAAUUGAGGUAUCAUUUCAUAUAUAUUUUCAUUUCCAUUCGGUUAUUUUUCUUUAAGUCAGACACCCUCCUAUUCAACAUAUUUGAGUUCUCAGGCUAUCAGCCUUUUACUGUUUUAUCUUCAUUUUUUCCGCCUUCUUCUUUUUGCUUAUUGGACCUGCUCCCUCUUCACCCUCAAAAAUUUCUUAACUAAAAAUUCUCCAAUAGGAACAAAAGGGUUUAAGCAUUUGAAGUGUUUCUGAGAGAGGAGAACAUGGUCUUGAGUAUUUUUUACUUUUGGAAGGGAGUUUGAGUUUUCUAGGUGUAUGGAAAGAAAUAUAGAGUAUAAGGGAAAUGGAAGGGUGUAUCAUGUGGAGGCAAGUGUCAUCUUGGUACUCCAAAGAUUGCACAACAUUCGGAUCCCUGAAUGACAGACAUUUGGCGAUUUCAGCGGUUCUCAUGCAUAAUUCAAAAUGCAAUGUUAAGAAUGUUAACCUUCAAGAACGGACCGGGUCCCUCUUUAUAAUUUGAACGUUAUUUCCAAGAUCUGUACUGACCUCCCUUUUCCUUCAUCCUAUUCACGUGUGUAUACCUACAAAGGUAUGAGAAUUAAUUUUCUAAAACAUACAUAGCUGAAAAGCAAGGAUACUCGUUCCCUUUGCAUAGUCAUGAGAGAGUUUAUUUAUAAGGCAAGAUCUGUUCAAGAAAGUUUCAGCAUUCCCAACUUCAACUUGAUUAUCUUAGCCAGUUCUUCUAAGAGCUUCAAGAUGUUGCUUGAUCUACAAGAUUUGACCACUUCAAGCUUCACUUGCUACAUAUUGUACCUCGGUUGUUAAAAGAGCAACUGAAUCUUGCCUUUUAGUUCCCCAUGAAUGAGAUAUUAGCCUAAAACAACCAUUCAUAAGGUACUCUUUCUACAAACUAGAUGUCCAUCAUGAUCAUCAUCACUAUCACGACCAGAGUCUACACCCCAGACGUGACCGACGUCGUUGACCUCUCAGAGGUUGCAGACAAGCCUACUUACGUCAUCGUUACUUCAUCUAGGUUAAUUUUAGCAGAAAAUUUGAACUUUUUGUUUACUUAUUUCAUAUGAAACAUAUUAUACUUAACAUCAUAGGCGUUCAUAAUCAACCAUAUUAUGUUAAGAUCAUCAAAUGAAAGAAAUAGUUUGAUACUGCAUUAAGUGUAUACUUGCCAAAAUGGCACCAAAUACAAUGUCUGAAAUAAAAUGAGAAAGGAAACGCUAGUGGAACAUACUCCACUAGCUAAAACCUACAUCUAUGCUAGAUUAUAACAGCAGACAUCCUCAAAAUCAUGAGGGACUACCAAGUCCGGAUGAAUGCUCCACGUCUGGAUAGCUGCAGUGUCGUAUCGUAAGCUCUAGCGUCCGCUUGUGCCUGCACCUAAAAGUAUAGAGUUGUGUGUGAGUAGUACACACUUGUACUAAGUACGGUAUAUGCAAGCAAACACCAAGGACAUGCAUGAUUAAGAAUAUCUCUUUCCUAACGAUAUGAAUUAUGGAAAGUCAACUCACUGGACUUUGCCAAAUUCAGAUUAGGAAAGUCAUGCCAUGAGAGUAACAUGCAUCAUCAUAUUUAUCAUUUUUCAAACAACACAUAACAUAUUACACAUAUCAUAUCACAUAUUUCAUAUCAUUCUUUCAUAUGCCAUGAGACCUUGGGAUCAUGGACUUGACAUUAGAACUUCCCAAAAUGAGGGCUCAACAUAUGGGACCUCAACCAGGGAGCCUUAUUUAACAAACACAGAGUCUGCUUCAUUCAUUCAUACGUACUUCAUUUUCAUUCUUUCAUAUACCAGUGCAGCCACCAAUCAUACCUAGGAUGUCGUUUAAGACUCUCAUCGGAUUUGUUAUGUAAUGACCAAGAAUAACCUAGUGUGAUUACUUCAGUCUAGAUCACCUGUUGAUUACCCUAUCCUAACACCUUUGGUAUCGUUCAUUUCAUUAUGCACAUUCGUUGAGGCUGGCCUCAUUCUUUCUUUGGAAACUUUAACCUUAACUGACAUAGUUCAUGUGAGCAUUAUGAAAUCUAGUGUUUGGCCCACACCAAAAAGAGGUGGAAUCAUCGUCCAAAGUGACCCGAACAUGCUAACGUAUAUAGGGAGUCAAACCCUGCUAGAUCCCUAUAUUGGCAGUAUAGGUUCAAAGACUAGGAGAUAUAAGGAGACCCAUACCUGGCAUGCCGGACAGUCUCAUCUCAUGAGAGUUACGUGAAGCUCUACCCUUUCGGAAGAAAGGCAUCACCCCUCAUAGCUAGCCUAUCGGUGCUCAAUAUAAAGUUCCAUUACAUUCAACUCAUACAUCAUGGAAGUUGGCUUCUAGCAUGAGGACAUCAUAUCUCAUUAGAUGAUUUCUCAUCUUAUCAUUAGUACUAAGUAUGCAUUAACUUCAAUACUUUCAUUACAGUGUUCAUAGAGACUGGUCUCUUCAUUAACUUUACACUCUCAUAGGUGAGUAUGUUUUGGUAACAUUUACUAAGGCUCAUUUUCCUCUCGUCUUUCACAUUAGCCUCUUAUCAUGUUGUCACCACAUUCAUUACCUUUAGCACAUUUGCUCUUCAUAAUUACUCACCCCUUGUACGUGAAUGUUCAUUCAUCAUGCACUUAGACCUUUAGUGUGUUUCACACUCUUAUUUAACUGUUUUAGGUUACAUCUUUUCAUCACAUACAUCUUAGGUUCACUUACUUUUAAACGUAUGCUAGACUUAUGAGUCUAUACAUACAAUCCAUGGGGCUUCAUCCAUAGUUUGUCUAAGUGACUCAUAUUUACCCAAGAUUAUGUGGUACAAGACUUAUGCAUCCUCUAGAUAUGCCAAGAUAUUGAUUUCGAUCAUUAGAGGCAGCAUUCAUUAAAUAUUUAUUUACGUAUGACUUAUGUGUCAAUACGGAAUUGGGCAAGGGAACCCGAUUUUGAAUCCCUUGAGUAACACUUAAGCUUAUAGUAAACUUGAUAAUUGCAUUUUUUAGAUUUGGGGGACCAUAGUUCAAUCCCAUCACUCCCAUAAUAUUUUCCUUACUUUUUCUCCUCUAUUUUUUUUCGUUUAAGGCAAGGAGGUUAUGGGAUCAAUCCCCCACAAGAUCUUCUUUUUCCUUUAAUUUAUUUCUUAACUUUCUCAUUUAUCCAAGAGGUUGUGGGUUCAAUACCCACUCACUACAUCUAUUUUUCCUCCUUUAUUUUUCUCCAAACUCUCUCAUCUAUUCAAGAGGUUGUGGGUUCAAAUCCCCACAGCCUCACCUUAUUUUAAUUUACAUUUUCUCCUUACCUUCUCAUUCUGCCAAGAGGUUGUGGGUUCGAAUCCCACAUACCUCAUUUUUUAUUAUUUCUUUAUUUCAUUCUUCUCCUCUCUCAUUCAUCUGUCCAAGAGGUUGUGAGUUUGAAACCCAUACGCCUCACUUCAUUUUCUUUCAUUUUCCCCCUAACUUUUAACUUGAGCUUUGCCCCAUCAAAUCCCCCUUAUCAUAUUUUAUUAUUAAAUUUUUUAUGACAUGUAUAUGGUGAAGUCUUGGUUACAAUCCCCACUGACCUCAAGCAUUUGAAAAACUAUUUUAGAACGUGAUUUUUCUACAGUAAGAUGCCCAAAAUCAAAUUUCUAGAAUGCUGGAAAUUUGUUCACCCUCUUUGCAUUCCAUUUUCUCAACUUUAAGAUGUUAGAUUUAGGAUAAAUUUUCGUGUAACAUCUAGUGCAUCUUUAGGUGAGUUUUCAUGGUUAUUUUCGAGAGUUUAAUCACACCUUUUUACAGUCCACUUUCUCACCCUUUUUCACGUUAAACAUUAAGACAUUUUGAGCAGUUUUUUUUAGGGAGAUCUUUAGGAGAAUUUUCAAGAUUACUUUCAAUCGAGAAUUUUCAUUUAAUUCAGCAACCUUGAACUUACAUGAACAUCAUGUUUCUAACAUAUUCAUACACGUAAAAUACAAAAAUUUAAUCAUGCAGAAUCUCAUACUCUUGGCUGAGAACAAGUCAUAGUACACACGUGCACUCACAAGUCAACAUAUCACACAUUUUCGGGAACAUUUUCUUCAUUACUACAUAAUUCCAAAUACACAUUCAAACACGUAAUCGCAACCAGCCCUAAAAUCAUCUACCAGAAGUCAUAGCAACCUAAGAUCAUAGGGAGCUAGUGCCAAGGACAUGCAACAGUGAACAACCCUAGUUUUCUAGUAGAUUCAUCUGAGCCUUAAGGGUCUCUUGGGAAAGGGACCAAGACUAAGAAAACUUAUACCUUAAUGUCGUUCAAAACAUAUUUAAAUGCUGCCAAUUCCAUGAAACCAAGCCUUACCACCAAAACAUCAAGCAUAAUCCCGUCAAGAACUUUGUUUUGCUUUACAUUUUUAGAUUGCUUUGUCGUUUGUAAUUUUCAUGUAAGUUCUUCAAGUAUGAAGAACUUUUGAUUUUUUUUGUUAUUAUUUGAUUGUUGUUUUCUGUUUGUUCAGAAAAAAGAAC